AAUGGGUUUGUUUGGGUUUAUAACAGGUUUGGGAAAUUUUAAUUCAUAAAAAACCAAUGUCCAAAAUAUAACAUAUUUUAGUCACGGCCACUAAAAAAUUGUGACCAUAAGUGUGCUUUUAGUCACGCUUAAAAUGAAUCGUCACCAAAAGUUAGGGAGAGCGGUCAUAAUACACUUAAUGUUUAGUCACGGUCACUUAAUUAUUGUGACCAUAUACCUAUAUUUAGUCACGAUUAGGGGCAUUGACCGUGACAAAAAGUUGGCAUUUAGUCACGGUUAGGGGCAUUGACCGUGACCAAAAGUUGGCAUUUAGUCACGGUUAGGGGCAUUGACCGUGACCAAAAGUUGACAUUUGGUCACGGUUAGAGGCAUUGACCGUGACCAAAAGGUAACAUUUGGUCACGGUUAGAGGCAUUGACCGUGACCAAAAGUUGAUAUUUAGUCACGGUCAUUUUAUUAACCGUGACUAUAGACUUACAUGUAGUCACGGUUAGGGUACUGACCGUGACCAAAGGUUAAACAUAUAGUCACGGUUUAUUACCUGACCGUGACCAAUACCUUUAGCUACGCCUCAUACUGUGACGCUCGGUCACGGUUUCAUAAGACCGCGACAAUAGGUUUUGGUCACGGAUAUAUACGAUUUGGUGACGGUUGGCGACCGUCACCAAAAAUCCUAUUUUCUUGUAGUGNNNNNNNNNNNNNNNNNNNNNNNNNNNNNNNNNNNNNNNNNNNNNNNNNNNNNNNNNNNNNNNNNNNNNNNNNNNNNNNNNNNNNNNNNNNNNNNNNNNNCAUAGGUUUGGUCCACGGAUAUAUACGAUUGGUGACGGUGGCGACCGUCACCAAAAAUCCUAUUUCUGUAGUGAGAGGAUAUGUUCUAUGUAAGAUUGUCCAUAACUAUUGUAAUGGCUUGUACUAGCUGUUACCGCAUUGUUCUUUGAUUGAGGUAUUAUCUAGCAUACAUCAACUAAUAGCCUGUAUUUUCUUUUCCUGACUAUUGAGAGGUCUCUUUACAUAGUUGGAAGAUCUUUAUCAGAUGGGGAGAGACUACUUGUCCCGGAAAAACUAGACCCAAGCUGCCAACCCACAAGUCUGUUCAUGGAUUUGGGUUGGCAUGGCAUACUGCACAAGGGCUAAUGGAAGUAGGUCGACCCACCAUGCAUAUUCCUUUCACUGGUUGCACACAAUCUGAUUGUUCCGGAUUUAUUAUGGGGAUUUAAUUCAUUAACCCAAUAACAACCCAAAUCCAAUUGAUCUAUGAGACAAUGAGUGAAGGUUAUAAAUGACAUAAACCUAGAAAAAUAGUACUUCCUCUCGUCAUUUUAGGUGCAUUAGCAAAUCCAGUCAACUAUCUUGCUGUUAGCUAUGGAGGAAUUACUCUAGAAUCAGAGACACAAAAUUGAUCCGAAUAAAAAGGAAACCUGAUUUGAUGAAUGAAAAAGAUGGAAAUUGAGUCAUUUCCGGUGUAUUUUUGUUGGGAUUUGGUGGUAGUUGACCUUGCAUAUCCAUUAGAGAUUGAAUGAUGAUCGAAUGGGCUCAAGCACACAGAGUUUUAAGUACCAGUCUUUGUCAGAGAGUAGUAUGCAUGAUUUUAACAUGUUCUCAUGCUCACAUGAACUUCAUACCAUCUGAUCAUCACUGCCCAGGACAUGACCCUUGAGCUGUUUUGUUCAAACGUCUAAGACGCUUCAAGAUGCAGGAACUGAAGCAAAGAAAAAUGAGAGAGACAUGAAAAUGUUACAUGAUGAAGUACCUAACGCCCAUUAGGUGAGCCAUCUCCAUACACUCAUUUUCUUUGUAGACUCCUAUUCCCUUUUUAUAACAUACUGCUGCCUUCUUUGAGUGUCACCGGAGAGCUUUUGAUCUCGGUGAACUUAUUUUUGUCAUGGAAUUCAACAAUUCUGCAAACCCAGUUCACCAUACUCCCUUCGAAGCUAAAGAUCGUUGCCAAUGGCAGGACUGUUACUCAUUCAGGGAGUUGAAGCACAUUUUCUCAGUUGUCAUAUUUUUCAUGAUGGUUUCUCAUGCAAGUAAGGUUCCCAAACUUGGACAUUAGAUUUUCUUUUCUGGCAGUGGCUUACAUUUUUCUAUCUGUUUGUUCACUCUUUCUAUUGCUUCUGUGAUUUUAGUUGCCUAUGAUCCACUGGAUCCAACCGGAAACAUAACAAUAAAAUGGGAUGUUGUGUCUUGGACCCCAGAUGGUUACGUGGUGAGUAAAUCUCUGUUUUGAUGGUCUGUAUCAUUAUUUAGUAUCAAACAACCAACUUAUCCAUUGCUCGCUGGAUCUAUACACCAAUUAAUUGUCAAUAUUCUGGAGCAAAGUCUAAAAGCAGGUAAAAAAUCAUCCAACAAGAGAACUUAGAAUUAUGCAACAACCUUCAGGCCCAAUUAUGAACUGUAAAUUAUAGUUUCUUUUCCCACCUCUUUCUUGGCAAUUAACAUGGCUUUCAAGAAGAUCCCAAAACAAUUCUUGAACAAAUCACCAACGAAUCAAACAUCAUUUAAUCGAGUUCUUCCAGGCUCUGGUGACUAUGAACAACUUCCAAAUGUACCGGCACAUCAUGACCCCUGGCUGGACCCUAUCAUGGUCAUGGGCUAAGAAAGAAGUGAUCUGGUCAAUGGUGGGAGCCCAAACAACAGAGCAAGGAGACUGUUCCAAGUUCAAAGCGAACAUACCACACUGCUGUGAGAAAACCCCAACAGUUGUUGACUUGCUUCCUGGAGUUCCUUACAACCAACAAAUUGCCAAUUGUUGCAAGGCUGGUGUGGUGGCCGCCUGGGGGCAGGAUCCUGCAGGAUCAGUCUCCUCCUUUCAGGUGAGCGUUGGGCAAGCUGGGACUUCAAACAAAACAGUGAAACUUCCCAAGAAUUUCACUUUGCUUGGUCCAGGACCAGGAUACACUUGUGGCCCUGCCAAAAUUGUCCCCUCCACCAUCUACUUGACUCCUGAUCAUAGACGAAAAACUCAAGCAAUGAGUAUGUCUCUUCUUCACUGAUCUUUUCAGAUACCUAUCCUUUUAUUCUUCUUUUAUUGUUUUGAAGGUCUUCUGACUGAAAAUGGAAAUCAUCUGUUUGAUAAUAUUUUCCAUUUGGCAGUGACUUGGAAUGUUACCUGCACCUAUUCUCAGUUUCUGGCGUCCAAAAACCCCACCUGUUGUGUUUCCUUCUCAAGUUUUUACAAUGAUACCAUGACCCCAUGCCCAUCCUGCGCGUGUGGUUGCCGCAACAAGAACAUGUGUAUCUCGUAAGCCUCUCAUUCAGUCUCAUGCAGCACAGCACAAUUGAAAAUGCAUAUAUAUGCUUGUCGAUCUGCUUUUCAUUGAAUAUAAUUGUGGAUACGCAGAAGUGACUCAAAGAAACUGAAGGCGUUACACAAUCCAAAGAGGAGCAAUACACCAUUGCUACAAUGCACACAUCAUAUGUGUCCCAUACGGGUGCACUGGCAUGUCAAGCUCAACUACAAGGAUUAUUGGCGAGUGAAGAUCGCCAUUACUAAUUUUAACUAUCGGAUGAAUUAUACACAGUGGACACUUGUUGCACAGCAUCCCAAUCUCAACAAUGUCACACAAGUAUUUAGCUUUGAUUACAAGCCUCUUGUCCCCUAUGAAUCCAUAAGUGAGUGCAAACCUACUUCAAAUGCUUUUUCAUCCAGAGCUGCAAAAACCCAGAUUCAAACUCAAUUUCUAAUAAGAUUUUCUAACUAGUUCACGGUAUUUGCAGAUGACACUGGUAUGUUCUAUGGCAUGAAAUUCUACAAUGACCUACUAGUGGAAGCCGGACAGCAUGGAAAUGUCCAGUCUGAGGUGCUUCUUCAGAAGAACAAGGAUACAUUUACUUUCAAGCAGGGAUGGGCAUUCCCUCGAAAAGUUUAUUUUAAUGGUGAUGAGUGCAAGCUGCCCCCGCCUGAUACAUAUCCAUUUUUACCAAACUCUGCCCAUGCAAAUCCAUUUGCCUUUUGGACAAUGGCAGCUCCUCUGCUUUUGAUGAUACUGUACACCAUUUGGUGAUACUUCUAAGAGAAGAGAGAUAGCUUUUGGAAAUCUUUGAGGCAGAAAAUGCAGGGUGGUUUUGAAGGUACGGCACUUUCCUAUGGCAGGUUUAUGAUAUCACAAUGUCCAUAAGCUGUAGAAGAGAUUUUCAAUUGGAUAUUUCAAUCAUACAGAUGUUACAUGAGAGAGUUGAGCUUGCAGAUAAAUAAACUAAAUCAAAGCUCCAUAUGAAAUGUCCAAGAACUCUUGAAGUUUUUCAUGGUACACCAUUGACAAAAUCAACCCUUCAUUUCCUGUCCUUGUUUCUUUUAAUUUGCAAUUUGGAUGUGGAAGUUCAUUAGCUGCCCCUUCUUUUAUGUAGUGCAUGAUCUGAUUAUGUGUUUGGAACUCGAGAAUGAAAAUGGAAAUAAGAUUAAGAUUGUGAGACUACCACCUGCGUCAAAUACUUAACUAACCCCAUGCGACCGAUAAUCAAAUGUUCUUGAAGGUUGGAGAACAAAACUCCAGCAACUCCAAAAGCCUGACUGGCAGAAAUUAUGGCAACAAUGAAUAUCAAGUUAACAAAAACGCAAUGGAAUAUAUACUAAACCAUAUAUCAACUGUCAUUUGCUCGUGAAUUUCCUUAUUACAAUGCUAAGAAUAUUUUCGUGGAUAUGCUACAAACAAAAUUAUCAAAGGUAUAAAUAAAAAUACAUAAACAUACAACACAAAAACUAAAUCUAAGCAAAAUUAAACUCACCCCCAAUGCAUAAAAUAGAUAACAAGGCAGAGUUUUUUAGUGACCUGCAUUAACCUUGAAACACAGCACCAACACAUUCAACCCCCCAUUGGUGAGAUUUCCACGACUUUUUGUAUGAUCUAAACCAGAUUGAAGUUUGUGAAAUUUCCAGAACAGGUAAUUUCUUGGAUUUUUCCUGUAUAAUUCACUAAGCAUAAGCCAAUACAAUGACAGAAACUGCCAAGAUUGUCAAGAUUGAGUAAAGGAGAGAGACAGUGGGUCGGGAGCUGGCAUUUGGCAACCAUGGGUAGGCAUCUGGUGGAGGCAUGACGCAAUUAUCACCAUUGAAAUAAAUUCUUCGAGGGAAAGCCCAUCCCUUAUCAAAAGUGAAAGUUGCUUUAUCCUUUCGAAAUAGUAGCUCUGACUGCACAUUCCCAAGAGGACCAGCUUGAGAGAGCAAAUCAUUGUAAAACUUGACUCCCCAUAACAUGGCAGUGUCAUCUGUAUAACCAAAAUUCAUAUUCACAAGAUGUUAGGAUUAAGACGAACAGUUGCAUGUUUUUUAUUUAAAAAGCUGGCAGACAACAACUUUGCAAAACCAAAUCUUGAGAAGAUAUGACGUACUUAUGGCUGCAUAAGGAGUUAAUGACUUGUAAUUAAAACUGAAAAUCUGUGUGAGAUUAUCAAAGUUGGGAUGUUGAACAACAAGAUUCCAUUGGGUGUAGUUCAUUCUGUAAUUGAAAUUUGUGAUUGUGAUCUUCACCCGCCAGUAAUCCUUGUAGUUGAGCUUAACAUGCCAAUGGACACGGAUUGGGCACAUAUGGCUGGUACACUGGACGAGAGGCUGAUAACUGGUUUUACCUGAGCCUUCAACGACUGAAGCUAAAUAUGGAUUGUUUGGGCUGUAAAACAGCAACAAAAGAAAAGGAAAAAAAAUCAUGAGAAAAUCAUUACUGAUUGCACUGACAACACUGAAAAUGCAAAUUUAGAAAAGAAAGAAAAAUGGUGAAAUAAUGGCAGCAAAAAAGACACUCAAUGUAACUUACUCUACACAGCUCCCUGGAUGAGUUAGAUUAUUUUGACAGCCACAGGUGCAAGUUGGGCAGGAUACUAUAGUGUUAUUAUAGAACGAUGACAAUGAGACACAACAUGUAGGCGUCUUCUGAGCCAGGAAUUGUGAAUACGUGCAAGUAACAUUCCAAGUCACUGCCAUAGGACAGGAAGAUUAGAUUAGUUAAAUCUUGAGAACUCUUUAAAUGCAUAUUAAGAACACAAAUUAUCCAUUGUCAAUGUGUCUUGCCAUCCUGUUUCAGCCAGUGGUCCAUUUAGAAGGACUACUCGAUGAACAUACUGGAAUAUAUCUAAUAUUUGUUGACUAAUGAAUAAAUACCGUAGCAGCUGCUCACCUGUUGGUCUAUUUAUACAAGUUGCUAUAUGAACAUAUUUGCAUUUAUCCAUAUUAUUGGCUAAUGAACAGGAGUAUCAUAGUGUCGGCUAAAAAUCAAUUGCACGACUACUUACGCAAAGUUCAAGGAUUUCACCUGUUGGUCCAUUAGAUGAAGUGCUAAAUGAACAUACUGGCAUAUAUGUACAUCAUUAGCUAAUGAAUGGGAACGUCGUAGAACUGGCCAAAAGCACUAGUGAGUUAACUUACUCAAAGCCUGAGUGACUCUCCUCUGAUCCGCCGUGGUAAACUUGGUUGGUUUUACAAUCUUGGCAGGCCCACAAGUAUAUCCAGGCCCUGGAGCUCUCAACGUGAAGUUCUUUGGCAAUUUGACAGUUUUGUUGGUAGUCCCAGCUGCACCCACACUGACCUGGAAUGAGCUUGCUGCAUUAGCUGGGUCCUGGACCCAUGAGUUUAUAACACCCCCUUUGCAGCAAUUUGCAAUCUGCUGGUUGUAAGGAGUUCCUGGCAGUAAAUCCACAACUGUUGGAUCCUUUUUACAGCAAUGUGGUACAUUCCCUUUGAAUCUUGAACAAUCCCCUUGUUCUGUUGUUUGUCCUCCCAUCAUACUCCAGAUUACUUCCUUUUUGGCCCAUGACCAUCCAAGUGACCACCCUGGUGCUUGAAUGUGGCGAUAUUGCUGGAAGUUGAACAUUGUAACAACAGCCUGCCCAACAUGAAUAAAAAGAUUAGAUCAUAACUAGAAAACAAUUGAAAUGUAAGUGGAAUCCAUUCAUGGGCAAAGGCAAGUGGAUGCUUGAACAAGGUUCACUAUUGCAAUCAAAAUAUUUUGUAGUUUAAUAUUUUACUUACAACAUAACCAUCUGGAGUCCAGCUCAUUACAUCCCACUUGAUGGUGAUAUUUCCCUCUGGAUCAAGCGAAUCGUAGGCUUCUGCAGAAACAUCCACCAAAGAAAGAUGAAUACCUCAAUUCUUAAGAUUCUCAUGACAUUAAAUUUCAUAAAGGGAGAGUUCAAUCUUUUCUUUUUUUGGUUAAAUUACACCUCAAUUUUCUUACUGUGAUGUAAGAGUCAAAACAAACAAAAUAAAUAUGCUUGAGUUGCAUUGAUACUAGAUCUCUGAUAUACAUGAAAAUUCAUGUAUCGACCCUCCAUAAAAACCAUUUUUCUACUCUUUUACAUCUCUGUACAGAUCCAAGAAACAAUUGAAAAAUCUCCUUGGGUAAAUGAAGGAAAUGGGAAAUGCACCCUAUUUGAAAAUCUCUCCAACUCCUUUUUCUCUUCAAAGAUUAGUAGUGAGGAUUUACCAAUGAUCAUGAAAUAAGAAAAGGGCAAUAAAAAUACUAGUAAAAAGAAGUGAAAAUAAGAGAGAAAAGCAUGUAUCUGUUUCUCUGUUUCAAGUAUAUAUAUGAAAAUUUCACUUUCAAUUACAAUGAUCACAAUUCCUUCUUCUCUUUCAAUUACUAUACCACAAAAUGCAUUCUUCCAUGCAAUCAGGAGAUAAUUGUCCAAUUUUAACCACAAACAAAUAAUAUAAGCAAUAUAAUUCCAAUUUUAAAAAAUAAAAAUGAAAAAAAUAAAAAAACCUCUUGCUUGCUAUAUGCAGCUCACUUAGAAUAAAAGAUCUCGGUUGUUUUAUGUCUCAACUGAGAAAUCCCCAAGCUAAUUCCCCAGAACUAACUGAAUUUUUGCCUUCCUAUGCUUAUUUCCAUUCAUUUAUGAAUCAGAUCAAACUCUGAAUCAAUGAAACAGAGCUUCAACUCCAAUCCUCACCAACCCCACAAAUUUUCCACAACCCAAUCCUGCUAACACCCUUCAUUCCAUCCAUUCCCAUACCUAUCUUUUAUUUCUCCUACAAAUUCCCCCGAAAAAUGGGAUGGUAGCAUAGAAAUAAGAAACACACUUCCAAAACACAAUAUUCGAAAAAAAUGGUAAAUGGUGGCAUCUGGGUCAUCACCUGUAGAAGUGAAAAUGGAGCAAGAAAACAACAACACAAGCAAAAUGGCGUAACUGCUGAGCUUGGUGAUGGAUCUGGCAAUGGAUGUGAAGAAAAACUCCAUUCCUUGUUGCUGAUUAUGCUCUGAGCUGUAGUUGAUAUUCGAACUGAGAAAGAGAAAGAUGAGAAGAGACAGUGGCAGUGGAUGGUGGUAGCCUUCUUUCUCACAUGGUAAGUGAGCUUUUCAUAGCUAACGGGACUUUAAAAACCCACUAUAAUAAUCUCUGCCUCCACUCCGCUCUCUAUUUGCCUACAAUUCAGUGUCCUCCACUCUCCAAUUACAAAUUUACCCUUAUUCACUAGUGAAAAUUACCACCUAGAACAUUGAAAAUAAUAAUAAUAAAAACCCGUAACAUAAACAAACUCCUAAAAUGAAAUGUAUUUAAAAAUAUUAUCAAUCACAAUGUGUCAUACGUAUAAUCAAGUCUCAUUGUUCAAUAUCUUAAUUUUAUUUUUCGCUAAUUUAAUUUUAUUAAUUAUAUCAGUCUUAUUAUUUUAUAGUUUCAUCUUAAUUGUUUAUAUUAUCAUACAAUAACUUAAAUUUCAUUAUGUACUUUCAAUAGUCGAGAUAAUAACUUUAAUGAAUACCGAUUUGAUACCGUAACAUUUUCUUAAUAUAAUUACAUUGAUUAUUACAAUCAUAAGACAUAAUUUAAAGGAAAGUAAUCAUUUUAGGAAUUCAUGGGGGUAGAAUUGUCUAUUGGGAAAGAGUUGGAAAAAAAAAAAGUUGUCCAAACUAUAUGCAGUGCCAAAGAAUUGGGAAUACGCAAUUGUUUGAAAGAGUGGUGAAUGAUGAAUCCGUUGGGUUCUUUCUUUCACAGUUGGUUCAUUGCUUACUUGUCUUGGAAGGUUGGCACCUCCAACAAGGCAAACCAAGAUUAGCCCUUUCACUGUUUGGUAAUAAGUGGAUUUAUAUAGGGGCAUUUCUGGAAUACAUGCAAGAUUUUUGGAACAUAAUCAUCAAAAGCAAAAACAAUUAUGUAAAUGGCAAAAUGUGACUGUCGGUGGAGAGAGACAGCGAGAGGGGGAGGGAGAGCGUCCUCUCUAUUUCCAGAUUGUCGAUUCUUGGACAGCCCACGGCCCAGGCCCACCAACUUUAUUUAUUUUUAUUCUUUGGGAGAUUUCUUCGGCUUGUAGCGGGCCCACCCUUUUAUUUUAUUUUGUUUUUAUUAUUUAUUGUAACAACCACAUAUUAAGAAAAUAGGUUUUUUUAAUUAAUUUAUAAUCACAAUUAUGUGCAGCCGACAUAAAAUUAGUCUAGGUUUAAUCUUGGGGGACCCACUUAUUAAUUGUUAAUACGGUUGAUUGUAUUUCUUACGUGGACUCUUUUCUAAUUAGUUUGGUGUAACUACUAUUUAAGAUUUUACGAAAAUUAAUUAAUUAGAAGAUUAUGUUAAAUAAUUCAUGAAAAUCAAAACUUAAUUUGGGAUUAAAUUAUGAAAAUCAUAAUCAAAGGAGACCCUUGUCUUGCUUUAUUGCUUGUCCUUGUCCAUGAUACUCACACGUUUGUUAGUGUCGGUGGUCCAUGGAACCUUCGUUUUUUUUUUUUUUCUUCCUUAUUGUCCACAAUUAAAGAAAUUUUAAUUAUAAUAUUUUGAGGGUAUAGAGGUCAAUUAGUUGCAAAAUGUGUGUUGGUUUUGAUUAUAUGAAGAUUCAACCGACAUAAAAGAUAUUUGAUUAAAAGUUUGUAUUUAUUUAAGAGUAUGUUUGAGAUUGAUUCAAAUACAAUUAGUAGUGCAUGCUGUAAAAAAAAUUAAGGAUUUGUUUGAUAAUUGUUUUUAAAAUAAUUUUGAAAAAUGGUUUUUGAAAACUAUUUUAUGAUUUUUGUAGAAUAAAAGUUUAUUUAGAAACCUAAAAUAUUUAUUAAUAUUCUUAAAUAUGUUUUAAAAAUAAUUUUUAUAUCUAGCAUUUUAUAUAUUUGUAUAAUUAUUUUUUAAAAUAGCCCUUUAAAAAAAAAUGAAAAUAACAAGAAACAAUUAAAAGACGUUCUUUAAAAACACUCCGUUUUUUAUUCUUAAGAAAAAAAAAUAAUUUGUGGUUGUCAAACGGGUUUUCUAUAUUUUUUGUUUCGAAGAACAAAAAAAUGUUUUAAAAAAUAGUUCUCAAAUAAGUCCUAAAUAUUUGACAAAAUUUUAAAGAAUCUUUAAGGUGAUUUUAAAACCACCCUUGAUAAAUACUAUUUUUAAGAACAACCUUUUUAAUGUUACAUAUUUCUAAAAAGAUUAGGAUAUAUAUGUAUAUGGCACAAAUUAAGAGAAUUUUUUUCUAAAAUAUUCAUAAAUGUGCCUUAAAUCCAUGAAUUUGGACAAUUAUACCAUUGUAAGUUUUUAUUAGUUCUAAAAAAAAUAUUAUCUAGAAUUAAGAAAAGAUAAAGAAAGUGAUAAUUUUUUUUCAAAUGUUCAAUAUUUAUUUUUUCAAAUUUUGUUGGAGAUAUUGUGCACAUUGCUUAAAUCAACCUUAAUUUGGAAUAAAGAAAUCAUUAUUGUAUUUAUAGGAGCUCAAAAGUUAUUCUUCUUAAUUCAUGUCAUUUUUUUUCAUUUUUACCCUUCUUAAUUCAUCAUUUCCCUUUUUCCAAACCAUGGCAGCUCUACAUGACCCACACUUCCAAGAAAGUAUGUUCUGGUUAUAUACCAAGUGGACAAAAGAAUUGGAAUUCAUCUCCUCCACAUCCUUAGGACCCUAACUUCAUCUUCAAGAUCACCCUUCAUUAUUCUCAUUUCCAAGCUAGUUUAAGACUUCCUUUCACCUUUUCAUAUGAUGAUUCAACCCAUUCUUCUAGUUUUUUCAUGUCAAAUCCGUUAUAAUAUCAUCUAUCUACUAUCAUGCCCUCGGGGCAUGACAGUCAUUUUAUACCUCAAACCCAAAGACUCAAAGUAGAAACGACACAAACAUUUAUAUUGUAACUAAAAAUUUAUCAAUUACCAAAUUCAUGUUCAGAGUAGUAGGACAAAAUUCUAAAAUCUCCAAGUAUCAACUUUAAAAAAACUAAUAUAUCAAUCAAAGUGUUGUUAUCCAAAUAACCCCAAACUCAAAUAAUUCAACAAGAAAUAAGUUUUAACAUCUAAAUAAUGUACAACAUAAAGAGAGUUUAAACAAAUGUCCUAAUAAAGCCAAAUUUCUCUCCUAAGAGUCACUUAUCGCCCGAACUGAGGUUACCUGAAAUAUUAUCAAAAAAUGGGAUGAACUCAAAGCCCAAUAAGAAACAUUAAUAUAGUUUCCUAGAUAAAAUAUUUUCAAUCAUGCUUGCAAAUAGGAGAUAUAACAUAUAUUUAUUUUCAUAAAAACUUUUGAGUUCAAAAUACUAAUACAUUCAAACUUUUCAACAAAACUUUCUUAUAUCCAUUUCAAAACAAUUUCUUAUCAAAACCAAAUCGAAUACAUUCAAAAUAUCUUUACUCUGGUUAUCGUAUGACAAAUGGUGUCCAAUUAGGUGGGACUUCACAAUUAAGUAACUAGUUUCAAAUUUUCUCAAUUUAAGGUGAAUAAAACCAAAUGUCAACAAUUAUAACCCGUUGACUAGGGUCAUAAGGUCAACUAUUAUAACCCGUUGACUAGGGUCAUAUAAUAUCAACUAUUAUAACCCGUUGAUUAGGGCCAUAGAAAUGUUAACAAUUAUAACUCGUUGACUAGGUCAUAUAAUCUACAGUCAAACGCUUUAUAUCAUUAAUUCACACUUACAAAACAAAAUAUCAUAUAUUCUCAAUUUUUCAUUUUUCAUAAACAAAUAAAAUUCUCAAAUAUACUUUCCAUACAAAACAAAUAUUUAAUCCAUGUGUAAAGAUAAAAAUAAUAUUCUUACACAUUUCAAAAUACAAUAUAAAAAGAAAAUUAUUAUUUUGUUAUAAAAAUCUGAAUUAAUUCCCCUUACUUUGAAGAAGCACUCAAAAACUUGAAAUAUUUAGUUUGAUGAAUUUACUCAUCACCUAACAUAAUAUCAUACACAAUUAUCUAAAUGUAAAAAUUUGACAAUCUUAAAAAUAAUUUAUUUAGUGUUAGGGAUCCUAAUUAAUUUCUUAUGCUAAUAUUAUUACUACCCAAUAUUAUUUUCAACUUACUAAAAAAUAAUAAAUUAAUUUAUUGGGUUUCCAAAUUAUUGUAAAAUUCAUUUUUUUUCCUAAUCUUACCCUCACAAUUUAUUUCUUUAUAUACUUAAAGUAAAUUAAAACCUAUACAAGAAACUAUUAUUAUUAUUAUUAUUAUUAUUAUUUUUGUUAUCAUAAACCAAUUGUCAUUUAACCACAAUUCCACCCCCACACCCCAUUAUAUAAAUAUAUAUAUUAUUAUUAUUUUCAAAGACUUUGCAACACCAUUGCUCCAAGUCACCAACUACACUCAUUAUUAUUAUUAUUAUUAUAAUAACAUUUUUUUUUCUUUUUUUUCUUCAUUCCUCGACGUCCAUAUGCAUUCUUGUUUUUUUUUUUUUUUUAAAAAAACCCUUUGUUACACGACACACAUCUACAUUAUUAUUAUUAUUAUUAUUAUUAUUACUAUUUUCACCGUUCCAUAAAAUCACACUAUUUUUAUUAUAUAUAUAUAUAUGUUAUUAUAUACAUAUUAUUGUUUUCAAAGACCCUACAAUGCUAUUACUCCAAGCCACCAACUACACCUAAUAUUAUUAUUAUAAUAAUAAUAACACUUUUUUUUUUCUUUUGUUUCUUCAUUCCUCAAUGUCCACACGCAUUCUUGUUUUUUUUUUUUUUUAAACCCUCUGUUACACGACACACAUCUAUAUUAUUAUUAUUUUCACCAUUUCAUAAAAUCACACUACUCUUAUUUUAUUUAUUUAUUAUUAUUAUUUUUAGAUCUAUUCAUUUGAGUAAUCAAAAUCUCUUGAUCUCCAUUAAUAAAUCAAACUAUGUUCAUAAAUUUUUAAUCUUUUUGACCUAUAAAUGAAUUAAACGAACUCUAAUCAAAAUUGAGAUAUUCCAAAAAAUAUCUAAAGUGUUCAAAACUAAUUAACGAAUAUAAAAUAUUAAUUUAAGGAUUAAAAAUCUUACUUGAAAAAUUGAUCUUCAAACCCUAAACUUCAAAAUCUUCAUCCCUAUGCUCUCUGAUUUUUUUGAUCUCUGUGUAAAACGGUUUUCGAAUAGAGAAUGUAGGAAAAAUCUAAUUUAUAUCUAGGGGUUUUAAAUACGAAAAUACUUUUUUACCUUUAUUAAAUUACUUUAAUUAAUUAAUAAUUUUUAAAUCACAAAUUUACUUCUAAAUUGGGUUUGGGGCAUUACAUCUACUUACUAGUUGCUUGAUGUUGAAUUAUUGAUUCAACCUUAACGUUAGAUUAGGGAAUAUCCCUCUCGUUUAUAUUUUAAAGAAGAUUGAAAAAGAGAGUACCUAGUUGUUCUCCUCUUUGAAGAUGUAUUGCUCCCCCAUUUUAAACUUCCUAGACUAGAAUAAAGGUUAGGAGAAUGGGUACAUCAAGACCACAAAAUGAUGAGAAUUUGAUUAUCAAGAUAAAGACAAAUUGUAGGACAUCUCUCGAUUUUUUUACUAACUAGGUGGGUUUCUGAUUAGUUUUCUCUAUUAUCCUAAAUACUAAGCCUAAUUACAUAGUAACUCUAACUAAGAAAAACCAAAGGAAAAAUUACUAUGACUUUUCUAGUACUCUACAUAUCAUUAUUUGAGAUUAACUUAAGGAUUCAAAACUAGGACAAGAAGAUUGUUUUUUAUAUGAUCUACUAAAUUAAGAACGUAUGAAAAUUGAGUUGAAUGAAAUUUGAAUUAGCUAAAUAAAUCUAAUUUAAAAUAUUGGAAUGAAUUGAUUUUUUAUUCAAAUGUUUCAAGAUUGGGGGUUCCACAAUUCAACUUCAAGUUUAGGGUUUUAGGUGAAACAAGAGCAUUUAUUUUUUAUUGAUCUUGUGGUGAUCAAAAUACAAGGCUACAUAUAAUCAAUUUGAGUUAUAAAACUUAGGAUUGCAUCCUGUUAGCCCAAGGGUUCUCCUAAUCAAGUUUUGAUGAUAACAAACCAUGGUUAAGUUAUUAAUUGACUUGAUUUAUAUAGAAUUCCAAAUGUUAAUUUGAAAAUUCAUCAAAGAACCUAAUGGAUGCAAGAUCAAGACUUUUGGAAGACCUUUAAUAAUAGGAAACAUAUGUAAGAUGAAUGCAUGAGUGCACUUAGGAUUUACAUAUCAUUUCAUGCAUCUUUGAAAAACUCGGUUUAUCCUUUAAAGUUACAUUUCCAUUAAAAUCUGAGAUCUAUCAAAUGAACCUUAGGCAAAAAAUUUCAAAAUUGGCAUAUAAUUUUACUUAAAGAACUUGUCUAAGUGUUAGAAGCAAAAAAACCAGAAAAAGAUAGGUUUUAAGGGUAAAAAAAUGGUGAAUCAGUUAAGGCUCUAUCCAAACCGGCUCAACCAGUCAGGGUAUCAAUCAACCGGUUCCUUCUUUUUGGUCGAGGUCUGGUCAAGAGGUGAAAAAAACACUCUCUCUUCCAAUAGCCUUUUCUUCCCGGUCGAAGGAUCUGCUUUCCCAAUCGAGGUCCAGCCGAGGUCAGGUCGAGGUCUGGUCGAGGGUAACGGUCACCUACCAAACAUUAAAUGCUCCAACGGCUAGUGAAUCGGUCAACCCCUAACUCGACCGGUUGAGGCUACUCUUUGAUUUUCCUGGCUCCUGAGGUUAAAAACCUAUAAAUAGAGAGCUUCACUUCAUUUAUGAAUAAAAGAACACAUGCGUUUAUUUGUUUACCUACUUGUUAAAAACUUUCAUUUAUUUUUUUGGUGCAUUAAAUCUCCAUUUGCAUAUCCUUUAGUGCACCUUUAUGAUUUAUCCUAACCUUGAGUUGUAUUUGAGCCUUUGUUGAGCUAAGUGGAGAGAUUCAUACUUGUUAAUUGAGUGUUAAAGUCUUCAAGUGAGUUGAAACUUGAAGAGAUUGUGUAAGAGUUCAUUGGAGUUGGAAUCUAAGUGUAAAGGUGAUUAGAAGCUUGAUUGUAGCUUCAAGUUAGUGAAAUCCUCACUCGAUUAAGAGCUUGAGGAGAGUGGACGUAGGCAAGAAAGUGUCGAACCACUAUAAAAUCCGAGUUUGAUUUUUCUAACUCCAUCUCUUUAUAUUUGCUUCUCUUUGUUUAAAUUUGUUGUAUUUAAAAAGAAUUUGUAAAAACCCAAUUCACCCCCCCCCCCUCCCCCCCUCUUUCAUGUUUUUCUCUUUUAAGAUUGACAUUUAUUUACUCACAUCCAUUUCCAACUUUUAAUAUUUUAUUCCAUUUUGAAUUAUCUAUUAGAUAAAUGGAGAUGAAACCUAAGGUCUAGGUUUAAGAUUUUAAGCCUUUUAACACUCUGUGUAGAUAUAUGCCUCAAGGUAGAUCAUAAUAGCAAAACCUUAAAUAACUAGGGAUCAAAAAUCAUAAAAAAAAAGUCCUUAAUAUCAAGGAAUAGACGAUUAUACCAUCCCAUUAAUGCAAACUAGCAUUAAAGGGCAUUUACUCUUCAUACCAAUGCCUUAACACUUACUUUAUUCCAUUAUUAAGUUUAAUUAUUCUCAUUGUUUCCUCUCAAAUCCUAACCCUAGGUUUUCAUACUUCAUACCCCAAGAAAGCCCUUUAGUAUCUCAUGGGUGUGUUGUCACCUACACAAUCCAUUAAAUAAAAAUAACAAAUCAUUAUUGAAAAUUAAAGAAUUCAAAAAUAAUGUAUUGAUUGAUAAUAAUGGAAAAGAAAAACAAAUCAAGAUCUCCUUUUUAUAUUUUUCUCCUUAACAAAAAUUUGAACUCCUUUAAAAAACCCUAAAAGUUGAGUUUUUAUAGUUUGGAUAAGAGCCCUACAUGUGAUAUGUUCCUAUUGUCUGCUUAUUUAAAAAAAAAAUUUACUUAAAAAACUAAAAAUUAAUAAAAAUAUAACUUUUGAAUGUUUGAGCCCCAUUUUGGGUUUGAGAAAUGUCAAAAUAAGUCAAACCUUUGAAUUCGCAACUGAUAUUGAAUUGGGCUGGCUCAUGUCGAAAUGGAUUGCGACAUGCAUUUCGACUUUGUGAGUUGUUGAAUUACGACAUGGAUUUUGAAAAAUUUUCAUUCCUACAAAAAAGUAAGUCAAAAUGGCUAUGUAAUUUUGACAUUGGGUGUUGCUUUUACACUAUCUAUUUCAAAUGGCUAUGACAUUCAUUUCAGCUUCAAUUUAUACAUUGUUUAAAGCAUUGGAUUCAUGACUUCUUAAGCUUCAAAUUAGUUGUGGCUUACUAAAAGAUGGCCACAAGAAGUCUUCAAAAUUCACGUUAAGGUAAAAGUAUGUGCAAUUGCUAGGUUUUGAACUCUAAUUUCCAUGUUGAUCUUCAAACUAUGGGCUCCAACCUUCUUUCUUGUAUUUACAUGUCCUCUAUCUUUUUCCAUAACCUUCAUUUCUCAUCUGUCAUGUUGUGCAUUACUCUAUUUGUAUUUGUUGAAACUCUUAUCAAGUUUUAUACUUUUGGAGCUUCUUUUAGGUAUAUUUAUCUCAUUCUUUACCAUGGUUGUAAACAACUUUUGUAACUCAUAUCCUUUAAAUUUGAGAUUUAGCUCAAGAUAUAUGUUAGAUCCAUGACUAAGGUUUUAGCAACAAUUCGAGUUUAAUUAGAUGAAUUAAGUCUUUAUAUUGCAUAAUUCAUUCUCUAUCUGUGCCUUUUUGACACAUUUUGUGGCUUUAAUCAAUUUCCCACCUGCAAAAUUUCAAAUUCAUACUCCUUAAAUCACAAUCUCAUUAGACAAAAUUGAAUUGAACCUAACUUCUUCCGUCAACUUUGGAUAUGAAUCUUUUCGACAAUUUUGAUGCUAACCUUUUAACUUGAUAUUAUUCAUUCUACCUUCUUCUUCAUGUGCAAAAGAGCAUGACAAAUUUUGUUAUAAUCAAGAGUGAGUAAAUUAAAGUCUUAAUGACUACGUUAAAGAAAUCAAGUUAUGAAGAAAAUCAAAUUUUGUGAAUAAGGUUUUGUCACUACUACUCCAUAUGUCGUUCCUUCCACCAACUCUAAGUCCUAGGAGCCUCCUCAAUUCCUCAAGCAACUAUUGCCCAAGUUUAAAUUUAGCAAGCUAACACCACUUUGAAUGGCCUCUUGAAGACACAAAUUGAAAUUUUCUUUUUAUUGAUUUUUAUGAACAAACAUCCUAGUUACACACACACACACACACACACACACACAUAUAAUUUUAUUUAAAAAAUCAAGCUUUCGAUAACCCUUUAAGGGCAUUUAGAGAGGGAUCUAGUCAACAAAGUUCAGACUUUUUCACCAUUUUUUAGUUUUUUUAAGGUCUUCUCUUCGUAAAGCCAUCUUUGGACCAAUCUCUUUUAACAAAUAAGACAAGGAUAGACUAAAUAGUAUUUUUUUUUGAAAACUUUCAACUUUUGAUAACAUUUAGUUGCCAUUUAAUCCCACCCAAGUACCAUUAUCAGAGGUUAAUUGAGUUAUCGAAAUACUUAUCAUUUAGAAUAUGGGUAGAAACAAAAUGUCAAUCAAGCUUCCAAAAUUUAUCAAGAUUCUUGUACAUCACAAUUAGCUACGGGUAAGGUGACUACAAGAGAAUCAUUAUGGGGAGAUGUUACUUCAUCAAAUGGAAUCUAUUAAAAAAUGAGGUGUCCAAAAUGAGGUUUUCAGAGAAUUGUAAGUUGAACUUUCACUCCCACUUGACUAAAGAUUCUUUGUUAUCAUUCUCUUAUGAAUUGCUUAGAAAGCUUCUAGUACUUCCUUGUUUUAGGGAAAUUUUCUUGCUUCUUAGUGAAAAAUUUGAAAGUUGUCAUUUCCUUAGAUACAUCUCCACAACAUGUUUGAGACUCUUGCACUCUUCCAUUAUAUGCUUAUGUAACAACUCACACCCAACUAUAUAGAUAUUAUCCGCUCUAAACCCAAAAGGGUCCUUACGACUUUAAAACGCAUUUACAAUGUUAAGAGGAGUUUAUACAUAUCUAGCCUUAAAAACUUUUUCUCAUAUGUUAAAUAUUACAUCCUAUGAAUAUAAUGAUAUGCAAAAUAUUUACUUUUUUCUUGUUUCAUGGAAUCUUCUUUUUGUUGGAGCCACCAAAAGUUUGGAAGUUUUCCCAAUUCCUAAAACUCAUGGGGUCUCAUCCCAUUAUAAACUUGGAACUUUGGGAACAUGAACAUGUAGGGAUUUUACUUUCUAAUAUACUAGUAGCAGAUGGGCUAGAAAUCAAACCAUGUACUAUCUGAGUUACUACCUAAUGAGAUAAUUUUCCUUUAAUCGAAUGUACAUGCACCUUUAACUCAUCGAGAUGUAUUUGCAAAGGUCCCUUAUCUUUGACAAAACGAAUUGUUCCAUUUUGGAUUGACUUGUCCUCCACAUAGUGGGGUGAGUCAUCUUGAAGUGGUUGCAUAAUUGCCAAAGGAGUGCCAGAUGAGGCGAACAUAGGGAAUAUAAUUGUUGUCGUAACUCUUGAUUAUCCUAGGCCAGUGUUUAAUUAUGCUACAAAGAAUGAAUCAUAUAUUCAAAAUGCUCUUGUUGUUAUUGCAAUUAGUCCUCCAAGCAUCUUAAUGGAUCCUUUGCUUCAUUAUGCUCCUUUGCUAUCACCCUCAAUAUUUGCUCUUGUUGAUGAGAUAUUUUGUUCCCACAUAUGACACCAAAAUGUAAGAGCUCAAAACUUAUUCUUCUCAUUCAUGGAUCUGAUAUUUAAACAAAAUCUUCAUAGGUAAUUAUGCGAAUGUGCACAUGUAGCCCCAAAACUAACCUUUGAGGAACAUGUGAGUCGGAAAAACUUGUCAUUCCGUUCUUAUUCAUUUUGAGUUAGGGAACAAGGUGAUAGAAUCUAAUUCCGAAUAUUUUGCAAUGUGACAACCAAUUGAUUUUCUUCAUAGGGUGUUUCCACAUUUUGUGGCCUUAUAGUUUUCAUUUAGUCUCCAUUUUCUACACUUUUGUAUCAUAAACUUGAUGAUGGACAAUCAUUCAGUCAAAUUCGAGCGGUCAUUCCAAUAUCUAUGAAUAUCAUUAACUAAUCAUAUUUGAAAUAGCUAUUAAAAAAAGAUUUUUUUUUCUUUGACUUUUAUCAAUGUUUAAGCAAAUUAAAUACAUUUGCUUUAUUUAUUUAUUUUAAAAAAAGUCUAACAAAAAAUGAAGACAAAAUAGUUAUCACAACUUUCUUUUUGUUUUUUUUUUUUAAACUUGUAUGAGAAAAAUAUUUCAUAGUUAAUAUUUUUUUAAAAUGAUAUUUUAACUUCAUUUCAAGAAAAAGUUAUUUGCGUCAUUGAACCGGGACCUAGGCCCAAGUUCGUCCGGGCUUCAAUGGGCCAUGCUUCGCUCAACUCGCAAAGAUUUAAGACUUUCGAACAGAUCCAAGCCCAAAUUUCCUCCCUCUCUCUGUCUUUCCCUCCCAAGUCCCACCUCAGCGAUUCCCAGAUGGAUGAAUUGCAAAGGAAAAUGGAGCCAAACUUGGAGCAGACACUGCAAGAGGGAAAGCUCUAUCGCCAGAUCAAUGCCUUAAUCGUUGCCUAUCUUCGCGACUACAAUCUCACUCAGGUUCACUGUCUGUUUUUGGAGAAAAUCUCAGCUAACAAAAUUAGAAUAGUUUCCUUUUCUAAGCUCUAAAGUUUCAUACAGUGCUUGCCGUAGUUAAGCAGAAUUAGAGCCCUAGUUUAUUCUUUUGCUUUCUCGGCUACCUAAUAGGGUGUGGAAAUUUUCUCCUGGUGCUCCGUUUGGUUGGGAGAACCUUGAGGGAAAUGAAUCUAAGUUCUGGUUUCCGGGAAAGUAAUUAAGUGAGUUAUUUGGUUCGUUCGGACUAGAUAAGAACGUUCAAAUUUAUUUGUGGAUGAAUAAUUUGGACUUCGAAUAUUGGAACUGUGAAAUUCAAGAAUCGUGUUUUUUGUAGGCUGCAAGUGCGGUUGCUUCGGCGACAAUGACGCCGUUGAAUGUGGAUACUCCUCCCUAUAAGCUUAUUGAUUUGGUUGCUAAGGUUUGAAUUUGGAUUCUUAGGCCUUUUGUUGAAAUUUGAUUGUUGAGUUGGAAAAAGGAGAAUUUUUCUGGUCUAAGAUGUUAACAGGGCCUUGCAGUGGAGAAAGAUGAGAUGUUAAAAGGAGGGGUUCCUUCCGCUGCAUUUCUUGAUUCAGGUGCGGUCAUGCCUGUGACAUAUGGUUCAAUCCCAGCUCCUCGAACUGUGGCCGUUGAUUUUGGGCAAGUAGUUUCUUAAUGUUGCUUUCUUUCUAAUUUACGUGCCUUUGUUUUUAGUGCUUCAUGUUUUGAUUUUUCUUUCAAGUGCUUUGUUGGACAAAAUUUGUUGCUAAAAAUUAAGGAUGUUGAUUAAUAUUGUUACAUUACAUGUAGUUAGAAUGUUACGAUAUUGGUAUAAUAUUAAAUGAAUUCAGACCAAUAAUAUUAAAUGAAUUCAGGAGCGUGAUUAAUGAAGAGGUUGGGGUAUUGGAAGGGAGAUGGUCCAAUAGGGUGUGACAUUUGGAAGCGAUUUUGGAAAGCUUGGGAUGUUUCUAACCAGUGUUGUCAAAGGCAAAAGGCAGUGCCAAGGCGAUAGGACCCCUUUUAGCCUGAGGCAAAAGGCGAAAAUUAAGGCAAUCACCUAACUAUAAUAAGACAAUAAAAUAGUAUAUAUAUUUACCAUUUUACCUAUUCUAUACUCAACCAAUAUAAAUAUUCUUCAAUAUUCAAUACUACUAAAUUUUCAUCCCCUAUGAUGCCUUAUAAAAUUAAGAAAAUAGUAAUAAUCAUUCAAAGUGUUAAAUAUAAUACCACAAAUCAUAAGAAAAUCCAUACUAUUUAGAUAAUUCAUCAUGUCCAUAUGCAUAUUCUAAUGUUCCAAACAUCCAAAAAUAAAAAUAAGAAACAAAAUAAGAUAAUGAACGUCCUAAAGAAGCUUUAAGCAUUAUCGUUGUAGUCAUCAUUGAAAUUAAAAUUGUCAUCACUUCCAUCAAGACUAGAUUGGUAUCCCUCCAUCUCAGUAUCAUCCUCUUCAAUGUCCUCUAAAUUGCUUUCUUUCUCUUCAAAAUCAGGUUGUGAAGUAGCAGCCACUAAAUUCCCCUUUAAACUUGUCUUUGAUCUUGGUCGAAGUCUAGUGGAAAUAUUUGCAUCUCCAACACCUGAUGCACUUGCCACUACACCCCAUGUCAAGCUAUCAUCCUCAAAAACCAAGUCAUCCUCCGCAUGAAUGGUGGUGUCUUCUUCACUUAUUUUUCCAAUCAACCACUCAUUACUUUCAUCAAUAUCUACUAAUGAGAUGUGGUCAAUGACGUUGCAUCUAUCAUAUUGUGCUUUAAGAGCUUGGUUGUAUUUAACAAACACAAAGUCAUUUAGCCGUUUUUGCUCUAGUUUGUUCCUCUUAUUGGUAUGAAUUUGCAAACAUUUAUUAGUAAAUGUUACCACAAGCUACAUUAGUUAUAACAACUUAGGUUACUUAACUAAUAAAAAUUCUAAUUUUAUAAAUUUACAUAUUAUAUAAUCAACAAAGUAUUAAAUACUUACAUGCUCAAACACACUCCAAUUACAUUCAUAACCCGAUGCACUACAAGUCAAGCUAAGAAUCUUUUUGGCUAGUUGUCGUAAAUUUGGGGUUGUGUUGCCAUAUAGUUUCCACCAUUCAGCUAUAAUGUUUCAAAUGCAAACUAAAAAUUAGUAGACUACCAAGUAAUAUUUUAUCUAAUAGCUAACAAAAUAAGUUAUUUAAUAUCUUAUUUAGAAAUAUAAACUUUCUUAAAGUACUUUAUAGUUUAUACCUAGAGCUAGUGUCUUCCUUGAUCUAAUGGCUAUUGGAAUACCAAAGUGACCCUCUGCAUUCUUAUAAGUCAACAACUCACGAAUGAUCUUAUCUUGCACAUCAAUGUCAAAAACUAAUCUAUCUAUACAAGAAUAUAAUUCUGAUGUUACUUCUUUAUCAAACUCCACACGAGGGUUGUCAUAGAAAAAUUCUGGGUUUAAGAAGUGACCGCAACCCACUAAAGAGCCCUUGAGAAGGAAGGGCCUCUCUCACUUUCCUCCCAGCCUCUUUUUAAAAGAGAUUCCACCCCUUGCGGUUAGGCUUCCACAUGAAUAGGCCCACUUCUAACCUCCCCAGGCCCAAUUCUGUUCUGGUCCAAAUGAACAGACCCACUUUUAAGCUUCUCAAGCCUAAUAAAUUGCCCACCUAGUCUGUUGACACCCCCUACUCCUUGACCCCUAUUCACUAGGCUUCCUUCCCCAACAACUACCUCAGUGCCAUUGACAGUCCCCCCUGCAGAGGAUGCAAAAGAAAAGUCUGCUAUACUCUUUGAAAAGCUUCCAAAGGAUGACAUGUUUUGUACCCCAACCUGCACCUUGAACUGAAACUCCUUUUCCAGCAAGCUUCCACUGUACACAGCGUGUGGUCUUUCCCCAACUUCAUCUUCAUCCGCUAAAACACCCACCCCAAGAUAUCUUCCCACUGACACCACCUGAGAAAACCAAGGCAGGGUUUCCCACCACAGUUAAAUGGAGAAACUCCCCGACCCAACCACAAUCUGAAUAGAGCUAGGUAAAUCCCUACCAACCAACUUCACCAAAAUUCUAGCCCAUUGCAACUCUGUGAAGCCGUAUUCUCAUCCACUGCAAUGAAACAUCCACAACCAUCUCUUAUCAAUUUAAACACCUCGCAGCUCCAAAGAUGAAGAGGGAGACCCACCACCCUCACCCAAGCCUCGUUAGCGAUGGCUCCAUUACAAAAGCACCCCACCUCCGGGUUCCAUUUUUCCAAAAAUAAAACGUUCUCCUUAACUCUCCUCUUGCUUCUAGCUAGGACUCGCUUAACCUCACUUAACAACUCAAACUCAAAUAGCAGAAGUCCUCUUCCCAACACAGCUAUGUUCAAACUCCCUUUGAGGAGCCAAUUGUGAUAAGCCCAACUCUUUAGAAAAUCCAACUCAGGGAAAGGGAUUGAGAAGUUUCCCCACCGGCCCACCAAAUAGCGAUCCAACUGUUCCAAUCUUCCUUGCAUCUCCCUCCUCCCCAACUCCAACCAGAUUUUGUCUCCUAACCUACCCGUUUUCGAUUUUGCAACAUCCGCAAAAGUCCUUGGUUCCAACUCCUUUUCCUUCCUAAACACCUCAAGGGAUUGAGAAUCCUUUAAGCCUCCAGAGGGAACGACCCCAGUCUCUCUCAACUUCUCUGCCAAGAUAUUCCAGCUUCCAAUCAACCCCUUCCUUUCUAGAAAAAUUAGACAAAAUCUUUUUGCCUCUAGAUCAUGAACAGAGCAAAGAAGAAAUCUUCCCGCCUCGUUUGAGCGACGCUCCAGCCUAUACUUCCUUCCCCCCUCCUCCCAAACGAGGGACCAACUUCUAUUGUCACUCCUUCUACAGUAAGUCUCAACUCCAUCCAACAAACUACUAAGGCUUGCAUCCCCAAAUCUGAUCCAGGAAGGUAGCCCUCUGCAUCUCUCCCAAAUGCACCUUCUCAACUUCCCUCCUACAUCGUCAACCAAAAGCUCAAAAGAUUUGGAUUCCACAGCAAACCAUCUUCUUUCACCCGUGUGGCCUUCCUUCAUCUCCAUACCCUUCAAACCUCUAUAUUGAAGUACCAAUUCUCCAAGGAAUCAUAAUCAUAUUCUAUUGCUUUAUCAUUCUCCCCAUUAUUAUUAAUGUCCACCUAUUCUUUUUCUUCAUCCAUCAAUUGCAGUGAUAUUUUUCCUCAUCCAUUAAUAAUAAGAUAAUGAUUAUAUAUGAGCUCAACCACUAGAGUGGCCAACAAUUUUCCUAUUUCUUCUAUUAAAUCAUUCCUUUUCCCUUAUCUUUAAAAGGUUAAUUGGAAGUUAACUAAACCCUUAUUUUGUAAAAGGUUUUAACUCAAGCCUAGACCUAAGCCAAAACUUAAUUUAUACCAAUAGUCCACAAAAGCAUAAAACCAUUAAAACUCUUGAAUAAUAAGGAUUAAACCUCCUAUAAAAUAUAUAUAUCCAAAAGCACACAAAGGUCCAAAAUCUAUUAAAAUCCUUUGAAUAUUUGAUGCUUAGGCCUCAACAAGGUGAGGCUUAAGCCUUAAUUGCCCUGACUGAGGUUGUAGCUUCAAGGCUAAUUUGGAGAGCCUCCCAUUGAGGGUGGCCUCAAGGCAUACGCCUCAAUAACUUUUUAAAACACUAGCCUUCAUUCACAAUUAGUUUUAGGAAGGAUGGGGAGGAUUCUUUUCAUUGGAAGGUGUUUACGAAGUGGUGCUUCUUAGAGAAUCUUUUUCAAAAGUGCUCUCCCUGAACAUCUAUUCUAUCUUCAAUUCUUCACAUUGUUGGUGGUUAAGGGCUAUGAUCGCUUGUGUAAGAUGGGGUUUCUUGCUUGGGAAAUGUGUUUUGUUGUGAUUGGAGAUUCUCUCCAUUGCUUCUCUCUUGUGUAAAAGGAAUAACUAUGGUGAAAUUGUUGCUGUUACCUGGCAUACCUGCAAUUCAUAGCUCCUUCAUUACAACAUUGUUGAGUUUUUGUAGGCUUUGCUAUUCUCUAUUUUUAGCAGAUAGUGGUCUUUUUUUAUGUUUUUUCUUUCCUUCUGCGGGAGGAUGCUUUAGCUUGUUGAAAUGGUAGUUGUGCUUGAAAAAGCGCAAAGGAAAGUGUGGAGAUGGCACUACUGAAGUAUUUUUUUGGUGUUGCUGUGAGGAGCAUAAUAAGAGGAGUUAUGAAGGGGCAAAGAUGUCUAUUGUUCAUCUUUGGGGGAGCUUGUCUUUUCUUGAGUUCAUUGAGAGUUGUGUGUAGGGCUAACCUUGUACACUUGUUCCACUCUUUCUUUUUGUUGUAUCCUUGUAUAGUUCCUUUGUACUAGGGUUUGCCCUCAUAAUGGCACUCUGUGUGUGUGUGUGUGUGUGAUAUGUAAUUUUGGACAAGUUGAUGAAACUUCCUAGAAGUUGGUUCUCCAAUGUUUUGCAAAAUCUGUUAACAUCUUGAUUCUCUAUAUGUUCCCUUACUGCUUGCUAUUCAUUUCUGCAUAUUUUCUCACUAAAGAUGUCCUCCCACUUGCAGUUUGUUAAUUGUCUUCAAAUUGUAUUCCCAAGUUGCAUUUUUCAUAUUUUUCCUUUUUGGGUCAUAAUUCCAGGGUCCACGUCAUUAUCUCAUGUUUUGUGGUUGCUAUGCUUGAGUUAACUUAUUUGCAUUAGGAAAUAUGGGCCACCCAUAUUCCCAAAUAUGAUAAAGGUCAACUGCAAUAUCUGAUUAUGGAAAUCCUAAAAUGAAGUUGCUAAUGCGUUUCUUUUGCCUACCAGUGCUGUGCAUGAUACAAAAGGCUCAUCAAAGAGUUUUCCAAAGCAUGAGACUCGGCAUGUUUCAGAGCACAAGGUACUCAUGUAUAGGAAAAUUCUUACAUCAUAUGCUUUCUCUGCAUUAGAAUGCUAAUUGCUUGCUUCUUGGCUUGUUAAUAAAAUUUUGUAGAACUUAGCCAGAUGUGCAAGGUUUAGUCUUGAUGGGAGGUUUGUGGCAACUGGGAGUGCAGACAUGUCAAUUAAGCUUUUUGAGGUAUGAUUAUGUGCUUAGUUUCCAUUCAAACUUGACUAUAUCUGAGUUCUAAACCACUAUUCUCUUCUUCAGAUUUCAAAAAUUAAGCAAAUGAUGUUGCCGGAUGCCAAUACAAGGGAUGGUCCAGUGCGACCUGUCAUACGAACAUUUUAUGACCAUAUACAGGUAAUCUUAACAUCCUGAAUUGGUGUUCAUGAUGGGCAACCACAAUUACCAAUCCCUUGCCAUAAAAAUAUUUAUCUAAGCUGAAGCUGACCUAAAAAUUAUUAUGCUGAGUUUCUUGUAACUACAGGGGAAUUGUUGUGGAUCUUGGUUCACCUACCAGUUUAAGAUUUAAGCCCUGUUUGGGAGAAUUUCUUGAAUGUAAAAAAGUAGCAUUCAAGCAACCUUUAAGGAUGUUCGAAUUUUGAAAUGUGAGCACCACAUUACCAACGUAAUUUAUCAAUGUUUUGAAAAAAACCAGAGAGAUCCUUGGCCUGAAAUAUAUUUUUAUUUAAGAAUGCAAAAAUUAUCCUUAUUUUAUAAAAAUAUUUUUAAGGCAUAGUUCCUAAAUUUAAAAUUAAUCGUGUAGUAGAAAUAGUUACUUUUGCUUCUAGCUUUUCUAUAAUUAGAAGCAAAGGUUAAAAUCUAUCCCAAGAGACCCUUAAUCAUGGUGACAUCAAAAUUUUGGCUCUUAAGUUGUUUCUACAAGAGUGUUUCACUAAGUGUUUAAGUCUCUCAUCCUGAUGCUAGCCUCAAAGGUUAAAAGCUAUCCCAAGGGACCCUUAAUCAUGGUGACAUCAAAAUUUUGGAUCUUAAGUUGUUUCUACAAGAGCGUUUCACUAAAUGUUUAAAUCUCACGUCCUGGUGCUAGCCUUAAGGUUAGAGAAGGUAGCUUGGAGACUAUAACCUUAGUACUAGGGAAUUGAGACCUAAGCUUCAUGCCCUCAAGGUAAGAGGUAGCCUAAAGACCUUAGCCCUGGCGCAGGAGGGUUGAGGCUUAAGCCUUACUUUGUUCAAACAUCCAACUUUGAGGCCUACACUUUCCCUCAUUUGGGCAAAACGCCUCAAGAACACCUUUGGCCUUUUAAAACAUUUGUCUGUAACUUUAUGGAUUGGUUUGGUUGCAUCUGGAAACAACCCAAGUUCCUUAAUGUGAAUGUUAAACUAAUUGAAGUGUUUUUAAAUGUAGAGGUUAUUAUAGUUGUCAAAGUGGAAACCAAAACUGAAGGUUCUAUGCACUUAGUUUUUUUAGAAAUUUCCACUAAAGAAUUGGAAAACAUUCUAUUAGAGUUUUGCUCAAAUCUAAGCUCAUAUAUUGAUGUCUUGAUUGUGAUAACCUUAUUUUGUUAAAAGCAUCUCUCUCUCUCUCUCUCUCUCUGUGCCCCCUCCCCCCUCUCUCUUUCUCUCUAUCUCUGUGUGUGGCUGUGCGCAUGUUUUCAAAUUGCUUUUUUGGGUUUAGUUCAAAAUGUGGUAAUCUUAUUUUCUCAACAACCUCUCUCCCCCCCCUCUUUGUCCUUCCCCAUGGUUCAAAGUCACAAUAUUGGUUGUUGACUAAGGUGGUCUUGAAACACAUUAGUCUCGGUGUCUUGGAUCGAUACUGGUUAUAUGCAAUAUAUGCUACUAUAGAAGCUCAAAUUUUUUUAAAAAUUAUCGGAAAAAAAAACAAUUAAAUAGACUAAAAGAUUAAUAAAUUUAACUUUUAUUGGAUUUAAUAUUGUUUAAACACUCAUAAAAGUAUGUGUUCAAAUCAUUAUUUAAUAUUGUAAAUUCUUUUAUUUCAUAACUUCAUGUUAAAUUUAAUUAAUUAUAAUUUUUAGAAAUUAAUUAUGACCUUUUGAUAUAAUGUUGAUACAAGUAAUUGUUAAUUUCUUAGUAUUAUUUUAUCCUAUAAAUAAAAAAAUUAAAUCUGCAUCCCUUAUGUAAUUGUAUUAAAUAAAUUACAACUAAUUUUAUGUAAAAUGUAAUUAAAUUAAAAUUAUGACAUUUUAAUUUUUAUAAUUAGUCAAUUUUCUUUAAGUUGAACAUGAUCCAUUUAACUAUACUAAUUAGCUAACCCUCAACCACUAGCCCAAUAUCCAUUUCCUAUUAAAACAUUAUCAUGCCUAUUUUUAUAUCUAAUACAAUAUUUUGACAUUAGAAAUUGUAACUUGCUAAAGAAAAAUUAUUUUUUUAUAACGAGUUUGUUUGAAAAUAAGUAUUUUAAACUUUUUGGAAUAUUUGUCCAAUUUUAAAAAUGCAACCAUUUUAAAGUAAUAUAAUGUUUAAAAAAGAAUUAACUUCAUUUUUCCACUUAAAAUAAGAAAAUAAAAACUUAUUAAUUUUACUUUUAUUUGAAUUAACAUAAUAACCAAACCAUAACAACCCAAAACCUGUUACCCAUUUCUGCCUCACACAUUCUCUGCAACUGGGUUGAAUAAAAGUACCUUUCCUGAUCCAAGAAAGUAAACUCCAUUUCUAAAUCAAAUAUUUUCCCUUCUUUCCAAGUUCCAGGCUCCUCCUCAUUUGCAUUGACCCACACCACUAACAUGAUGCGCCAACAACUCAACUGCCUGGAACUCCAACUCAACUAACAUUUUCCCUUCUUUCCAAGUUCCAGGCUCCUCCUCAUUUGUAUUGACCCACACCACUAACAUGAUGCACCAACAACUCAACUGCCUAUGCUGAUUUUACUUGCAGACCUGGACAUCUAGGCUCUAGGUGAUGUUUAAACCAACAAAUAGCAUCAGAAAACCAGAGAUGUAGCAUUUCAUCUUCAAGUAUAAGUCAUCUCUGAUGCUUGUCUGUGACCACCAAAUCAUCUGUGAAGUAGACUGAGUCAUUUCAUUAUUAAUCAAAAUACUGAACUUGGAUAUCCAUAUCAUAAUGGGUUUGGCCGAGGCAGAUACGACUCAUCCAAGUCACACUGGUCUUGGUUGAUACUUUUAACCUUGCCACUCCUCUCUUUCUAUCUGUGUGUCUCCCCCCUCUCUCUUUAUCCUUGUCUAUGUGUGUGUGUGUGUGUGUGUGUUUAGAUUGUAUUUUUGGCUUUAGUUCAAAAUGGGGCAACCUUAUUUUCUCAAAAGUUCCUCUCUCCCUCUCCGUCUUUCAACUCUUGUGUGUGUGUGUGUGUGUGAGUGCAUGUGCAUGUUUUCAAAUUGCAUUUUUGGCUUUAGUUCAAGUAAAUUGAUCAAUGGAUAUGUUUCACUUAAAAACUGCUCAGUUUAGGAGUUGCUGGUACUUUAAUAACUAUAGCUAUCUUAGAAACUUAAAAUAUUUCAUGCAUAUUGAAAUACCUAUAUAUAUGAUGUCUCCAAGAGUGCUAAACUCCAUCAAACUUUUUGUUGUCUUUGGCUUGAAAUUUAGUUAUAAGUUAUAACUAUUCAUGAUCUGGAUUUCUGUUUCUGGUCUAAUGCUUUACUGAUAGAACUGCAGCCAAUCAAUGAUCUGGAUUUCCAUCCUCAAAGUACUGUACUGAUAUCUGGGGCCAAGGAUCACACCAUAAAGUAUGAUGUUUACAAUAUAAUUGUACUUAUUUCAUUCACUUCCUUUCUUCAUUAUCUUGUAUAUUGUUAUUUUUAUUCCUUGUUAAAUUCUACAUUUUUAUAAUGCAAAUUUUAGAACGAAGUUCCUUUUCCUUUUUUCAGUCUUCUUUUAGAUCUAUAUGUUAAAUCCUUGAAAAUUAUAUAUUCCUCUAGUAAUAAAAUGGGAUUGGAUUCAUGGCUCAUAUUUAUGGUAUUGGUUAUUGAUUUGGCAAGUCCCAAGGCACAUUGAUCUCGGUACCUCAGAUCGAUAUUAGAUGAUAUGCAUGAUAUGCUAAUUAAAAAGCUCAAAAAAUUCUAAAAAUUUAAUGAAAAUUUUUUAGAGAAAUAACUAUAAUUAGAUGAACUCAAUAAAUUAAUAAAUAAAUAUUUAUCACAUUUAGCAUUAUCUAAAUAGUUAUAAAAGCACACAUUUGAAUUGAUUUAUGAUGGUGUAAAGAAUUAAAAAAGUUUAAAACAUUACAAUACUCAUUUUUAUGCCUAUUAUCAAUUUUUGAUCAUUGGUAUAUUGUGAAAAUAAAAAAUGAAAACGAUAAGAUGGUGAUUAGUAUGUAAAACUGUUUGAAAAAAAAAUCAGUUUGAAUUUUUUGUUCUUACUCUAGUAUUAAGGCAUCUUUUCUUAAUUGAUGAGGGGAAUCUCUAAAAUAUUUAGACAUUACUUAUUUUUUUGCUUCCAUUUUCAAUAGAUUCAAGUCAUGGUGUUAUGAUUCCAAAUCAUCCCAUGAGUUGGCAAGUCAAGUGAUUCAUAUUUGAGUUGGGACUGAGUUAUUGCUAAAUCGCAUGAUACCAACUCAUGUAUCAAACUCGUCAUGGCUAUGGUUGAGACGGAUAUAACUCGGCCGAUUUGUACUAGUAUUGGCCGAAUGCUUUGAAAGAUGAUUGGAUUUGCAUCUUUUAUAUGAUGUUUUCGUUUGCACUUUUCAGGUUCUUUGAUUUUUCAAAAACAGUAGCAAAGAGGGCAUUCAGGGUUAUCCAGGUUUUCUUGUCUUCUUAUCAUAUUCAAUCAUGGUUCUUGACCUUAACAAUGGAAUGCAUGAUUCACCCAUAUUACAUCCUUUCUACAAAUUUUGUCUUUAAUGAUUCAGGAUACUCACAAUGUGCGGUCUGUAUCUUUUCAUCCUUCUGGGGAUUUUCUUUUGGCAGGUAAAAUUUUCUUUACAUUUAUCAAUUUUUAAGAUUAGUGGUACCUAUUUGAAUUGGAUAUUUGUUUAUUGUUUUAUCUAAACACCAUGACAAUUGUGUGGAUAAUACACACACAUGCUUGUUCAAAGAAAUUAAACUUUUAAUCAUCAUGCUAUUCACUUGGAACUUCAACUUGUAUUAGGCUUAUCACACAUCUAUACUAAAAGGCUAACUAAUUGUGAGCUAUAUUUGGAGAUUUCACUAUCUCAUAAGAGUUAUGUUUUUAACAUUCAUUGAGCAGUGUUUGGGACUAAAAACUUUUUUAGAACUUUUUAAAGUGCUUGAUUUAUAUUUUUUCAAUACUCAAUUUUUUAUCCCCAUCAUUUUUUGUUCCAGUUAAAUGAGAAUUCUUUUAAUCAUCCAAUUCAAUCUAAGGCUGAUUUUGUAUUGUUGCAACUUUUAGGAAAAUCACCUUUUAGCUAUGCUGAAAGAAAAAUCAGCUAUGUCGAAAUGCAAUUGAGCGUUUGGCAAACUAUGGUUUCAAAAGUGUCUUGACUUUCAAAAGUAACAUUUAAGUGUUUGAUAAACCAGAUAGCUAAAUUGUUGUGAAUAUGUGUGCUAACAAAAAUAGGUGGGCUAAAAAUCAAUUAUUAGUAUUUAUAUUUUUAUUUUAUUUAAAAAUACUCUUAUUUUUCUCUUCUUACUAAAUUCAAAUAACAUAUUUAUAAUAAUAGUUUUUUAUUUUAAAUUUUACAAUCUGUGAUAUAAAAUAUAAAUCUCUCAGUAAAUGAGGUUUUGGAGUAGAAGAGGAUAAGAGAGGAAAAAAAUUGUAAAGAAAUUGUGAAAGGAAAUUAUUUAAAAAUAUAAUACUGAUUUUUGUAAAAUCUCCCUUUGAUCUACUUCUAGGAAAUGCUACUAAAGUGGGUCUGAUUCUCUUAUAAUAACUUUUUAUUUACUUUACCAAGUAGAUUAGUAGUAAAAAAGUGUUACAAAAAGAGUUUUUGAGGGGGGCUUAAAAUAGAUCCCAAAUGGGCCCUAGGGUUAUAAUGUCCAAUUGCAUCCUUGGUAAUCUAGUCGCUUCUAAAUUUCUUUGCCCACAUCAUCUUUUGGUCCAUCAUCCUUUUGGCUCCUGUAUGAACCAAAUCACUCAUCCAUACUGUUGCAUUUCUAAAUCUUCGUUGCCCAUGGCUGAACUGUCUUAAACAACUUCAUUAUCCUUUGGUGCCACCUCUAACUUCUUGGUGAAUAUACUGAUUUCAGAUUUUCAUUUUGUGUAUUGUCAUUCAUCCAUCUAAUAAUCAUUUCCAAAUCCCCUGGUUUUGUUAAUUUGUUUCUUGAUUGUCCAACAUUCUAUGCCGUAAAUAUGGCUGGUCUAGUAGCUGUGUUUGUCAAACUUUUCCCUAAAGUCAAUGGCUGUUCUUUCUCCUUUAAGUUAAGAGCUGGUCUUAAGCUGUGUGAUAAAAUGUUUCCUUCAAGUCAGUCAGUAUUUUCCUAUCAUAUUAUACUAUAGAUGCUCUUCUCCACUUCAUUCAACCAAUUGUAAUUUUAUUUGCAGGCUCUUUCUCCAUGUCCACUUCCUUACAAAUAAUCAAUCCAAGAUGGAACUGUCACUUUUAGGUGUCUUCUGUUCAUCAUUUUUCUUCCCUAGACUCUUGCUUCUUCUCCUGGUUUUACUAAUAUUCCAUUUCGCAUAUUGUUGUAGCAAUGCUGGUGGGGACUAUAUCCUUAAAACUUAUGUUUGACUGAGGAAAAGAAAGGAAAAUUUCCAGAUAGGCCUAACUAGGAACCAAUGGAGUAAACUUGCUUACCCGAAGGAAAAAAUUGGAUAUUUAGAUAAUUGAGAUUUGAGAAUUUGAUGAAUUAUAUGCCAACACAUGCAUGUGUCUCCAAGCUAGUAUUUAGAACAUCAUGUUGGUAUGAACCUACCUCACCUAGGUUCAUCAAAAAUAUAAUAAUAAAGACAUCAAGUAAUAGUUACAGGUAGUAAGUGGAAGCUAGAAAAGUUCAGCCUGACAUGAAAUCAAACAAUCCUUCUAAGUCACAACCAAGUCCAAGAAGCCUUUAAACCUACCCAGCCUGAUUGUUGACACAGUUAAGAGUCAUUUUAUGUAUCUCCGUGAUUUUGGGGAAGUGGAAGUGAAGUCUGUUCUCAAGUUAUGAAGGAUACUCAAGGGGGUAGCUUUUUCAGUACAUUUUACAGGGCAGUGAUUUUAGAUUUAGAGCUGCAAAUCAGCAGUUGGAGUUCUCAAUGUAAGCACAACCUGAGAUUAAAACUUUCCAACACAAAGCCUGACCCACCCAAACUUUUAACCCAAUGUACUCAAAUUACCUAAAGUUCCAAAUUCAGUUUGUGUGGCAUUGCUCAAGUUGAUUGGAUCAAGUGGGUAUGAACUAGGUUGGGUUAGGUUGACCGCCUGCUAAAGGUGUCAAAUGUAGACACUUGGUCUAAGAAAAUGCAUAUUUGCAUUAAGCAUGGAUAAUGUUAUUUCAGAGAUAAAAUCAUUAAAAUAUGAUAUAAUCCUUUUCCUUUGUUAAGGCAACAGCUGGCUCCUUGUUUUACUGGAAAUUACAAAACAGAUGGAAUCGGAUGAGAAACAGAUCCCUGGAUGAAUCAUGUACAGAAACAUCAAAUUAGAAAACAAAGGAAAGAAGGAAGCACCCUCAAGGUGACAAUAACAAAAAUGAUGAGAUUCAUGUGGAGAAAAGAAAUGGUGAGAUUGUGGUGUAUAAGCUACAAGAAGAUUGUAGCUUGUGAGGUUAAGGAGCUUUUGCAGUGGUGUUGUGGAGUGGCGGAGGCGGUGAAGGAAUAUGGGAAACUAGGAAGAGAUUGGUGGAGGUAAGGAGAUAAGAAGAGAGUGUUAGGGGUUCUAUUUUGAGUGCAGUGGAAAUGGUGGAUGCAUGUGGGAGACUAGGAAGAGAGGGUUAGAGGUUCUGUUUUGAGCUUUUCCUCCUUUUUUUUUUUUUUAAAAAAAAAAUACAUAUUAAAUUUAUAUAAAUUCAUAAUAUAUAUAUAUAUAUAAAGUAUAGAACAAUAUAUAAGGUUUGAAGAAGAAAAGAACAACAAUAAUAAAAGAAACAAUUGGGUUGGGAUUCAACUUGGUUGAUCAAGGCAUUGGCUUGAACUUGACCCGAAUUUAUUUUGGGUUAGAAAAAAAUCAACCGAAGUCCAAAACAAUUGAUAAAAAAUGAUUGUCUAGAACUACCCAGAGGUCGAGUUGGGCUUGAGUUGGGUUUGGCCAACCUGGCCAACUUGCACCAAUAUCUAGAUUUCCUUAAAUAGUAAGAUAUAAUGAUUGAUAAGCUUGAAACUUAGAAAACUAGAGCCUGUUCACCACAAACUACUCCUAUCAAAGGGGAACUUUUGUGAGACUGGUUUGGGCCAGAUCAUAAGCUUUGACUUCUUUGCUUUAUCACUAUGAUGAUAAACAAUUAACUCUCUGUUUGCUCCAUUUUUUCUUCCCUAAACAAAAAUUUUCUUUUGUUUUCCCUUGUUCACCGACUUCCAUCAAGUAUAACAUGGAUAAUAAAGUUUACUGUUUUUGAAUUCCUAUCAUGCAGCACCUGUGUUUCCUACUGUGAAUUGGCUGCUUAUGAUGUUAGGGGAAAAAAUGUACAGGGACUGAUCAUCCAGUUGCACACUUGUAUGAUGUCAACACUUUUCAGUGUUACCUAUCAGCAAAUGUCCAAGAUUUAGGUAUUAGUGCAUCCAUAAAUCAGGUAUAGUCAAACACCCUCCUUCAGAUUAAAGUAUUACUCCUUUAUAUUUUUCAGUUGAAUCUAAAGCCAUUGAGGCAAUUGUUUCCAUCUAUUUGGUCUUGCAGGUGAGGUAUUCAUCUAAUGGUGACAUGUAUGUGACAGCUUCCAAAGAUGGUGCUAUUCGGUUAUGGGAUGGAGUGACUGCAAAUUGUGUGCGAUCUAUAGUUGGUGCACAUGGAACAGCAGAGGCCACCAGUGCAAGUUUUACAAAGGAUCAAAGGUAGGGAUUACAGAAUAUAUAUAUAUAUAUAUACGCCCUUGAGGCCUGGCUCAAGUGAUAAAAGGUUGGGGAGGGUUUGUGGGAGGUUCCUGGUUUAAGUCCCAGUGGGGACAAAAAAUUUACCUAUCAAAAAAAAAAAUCCUACAUGCUGUCUUUUUUUAUGCCUGUCAAUAAUUUUUUUGGAAUCUAUGUUUUCAAGUUCUUUUUUUAUUAGGUAUCCCUGUCAUCAUGCAUGCCAAAUAUCAAGUUGAUCUGAGCUUUAAGAGCUGCACCAUCCUGACAGUGCUCUAAAUUAGGCUUUUAUUUUUAUUUUAUAAUAAAAUGUAAUAAAUUUAUGGUUUGGGCAACUACUAAACUCACUUACCUUGAUGUUUGACAUGUUUGACGGGCAUCAUAGAGUUAUAAAAUUCAACAGUGGGGUUGGCCAAAUAUGAGUUCCAUCAAGUUAUUGAGACCAAAACAAUAAGAUCUAAAGAGGUGCCAUUUGAUCUCUUGAUUAGAUUAUAAUUUUAGGGAGUCAAGUGACUUUCUUAUGUGGAUUGUACUAGUGCAAGCAUGCUGUUUGAUGGAUUAUGGUUAAUAUAUGAGUAAUAAAUGGUCUGAAAGAGCUUUUAUGGAAUGUAUAUAGCUCUAAAUAUGCUGGAUUUGGAAUAAGGAAGAGUUUGAUUUGAUGAUUAUGCUAAUUGACAUAAGGGGACAUGAUAUCAACAGUGGCUUCAAAUUAAUUUGUGUUAUGUUUUCCAAGUCUUGUCUUUUGAUUUGAACAUUAUCAGCAGCAAGCAAGUAAUCUUUUCUCUUAUAGCCAAGGUGUAUUUACUUUGUGCGUGGAUCAGAUAAAGGACUGAAAAUAUGGUCAAUGGGAUGUAUUUUAGUCUGUGGUAGUACAUAUAAAGGCAUUAAAACUUAAAUUCUUAAGUAAAUAUUUGUCCCUGCUUUAUGCUUUCAAUUCAAUGAAGUAUCUGCUUUGACCAAACUUGUUGACUAAAAUAUAGAAUUUACAACUUUCAUGUGCUGUUUCUAGGUUUGUUCUCUCUUGUGGAAAGGAUUCUUCUGUGAAGCUUUGGGAAAUCGGCUCUGGAAAGUUGGUCAAGCAAUAUCUUGGAGCUGCACAUACACAGCUACGGUGUCAGGUAUCUUUCUGACAAGGCCUUCUUGGAGAGUUUGUGUUGUGCAUUGGAAGUUUGCUUGUGCAUGUAUGUAGCCUCAUUUAUUAAAUGCUAAAAAUUAAGCAUCCAUGACUGAGGUUUUACAUGACCAAGGGAAUGAGAACGUUCUGCCAUUGGCUUUGCAUGUUGGAUGACGCUGCAUGGCCUCUUGCAAGUACUUCCAUUUUAUGAUUUGCUAGUGCAGGCCCAAUGCAACAAGUGUUAUAAAACUAGUUGUGUGUUAUAAGAGAGAUGCUAUACAUCUGGGUUUCUCUUUGCUGUUUAACCUUAGCCCCUCCCUUGCAUAUAGCCACACACUUCACUUUAAUUUGAAAACUGAAUGUGUCAUCUACUAUGCAAUUAAGAUUUUAAUGAAUCUUGGUCAUAUCAUCAGAUGCUUAAAUCUACUCUUUGCAGGCUGUUUUCAAUGAAACUGAGGAAUUUGUACUAUCCAUAGAUGAACAAAGCAAUGAAGUAAGUUGAGUUUCUCAGUCAACAAUACCCAUCGUGUUAGUUUUGUUCAUUUGGAUAUAACUUGUAAUUAUGGUUUUCAGAUUGUUGUCUGGGAUGCUCUGACGGCAGAGAUAGUGGCAAGGUUGCCUUCCAACCAUAUUGGUGCGCCCCGUUGGCUUGAGCACUCACCAACAGAGGCUGCUUUUGUUUCCUGUGGAACCGAUAGGUCAGUUCGGUUUUGGAAGGAAAUUCUCUAGGUAUUUGAAAAAGGGAUUUGCCACCUCAAUAUCAGAAUCUGGGACCAAAGAGGGAAAUGGAAAUGUUGUUCCCUUGGGAGUAUACUUUUAUUUUUACUGUCCUUGGGGUUGUAAUUUAUACAUGCAUUCUGCUGGUAGAGCAUUAAAUGUUGAGGGGAAUGUCCCCAAAAAGAUUGUGAACCAAAAAUGACUUUCACGGAGCAAAUGGCCCCCUUUUUCCAUGCACAUAUAUUUUUUGCCUUUAGAUUCACAUGAAGAACCAGUGGUUCACCAACCUUAUCUCCUUUUUAUUGAUAGCAACAAUAUUGACGGACCAAAAACAGAAGUCAGCUAAACGGGUUUUUUCCUCAAGCUGUGUGGUGCGUCAAGGGAAAGGCCAUUCAAUCAAAACCUGUUUUUUGGCAUUGCCUAGUAAGAUCAUGGCAUCUUCAACAACAUCCUAGUAUGAUGGGUAAGAGGCAUAGGUUUGAGUCAUGAGGGCGUCAUGCUGGGCAAAGGAUUUUUGAAGUGCAAUAAUGUUGAUCUUAAACCUGACAAUCACCCAAAUAAUGGUUAUUAAAACAGGUCCAUGGAAUGUAAUGUCAAAUGCCAUAAAAGGCUUGAUCGAUUUUCAUUAAACAUCAAUUGGUUUUCAAAUGAGACAAUCAAAGUCUAAUUCAAGAAUAGAUGUUGAAAUUCACGAUACAUCUUCAAAGUUGAAUGCUCUAUAUCAAGUUAAAUUCAUUUUUUUUUAAUAAAUUGAUUUUAAUAUUAUAUAAUAAUAAUAAUAGUAUUCAAAUCAUGCAAUAAAGGUAGUUGCUUUAAAUGAUUUGUUUUUUUCAUUUUUAUAAUUAAGACCUUUUUAUUUUAUCAAAAAUCACAUAGAGAAUGAUUCUCAUACCAAUAGAGGUAACCACUGUUCUGAUUAAUCCUCCACUUAUUUUUCGUUUUGGCCCCCAUUGGGACUCAAACCUAGAACCUCUCAAAAGCCCACCUUACCAAUUGCCAGGCCUUUGAAUUGAGAACAAUGCACACGAAAAAUGAAGGUGGUUGACAAUCCAUUGAUAAUACAAUUUAAAGAAACUUUGAAUCAGGAAAAUUUUUUCAUCAAAGAUGAAUCACCACCAAGGGAUUUUCCAAGUUUGUCUCCUCUUAGCCUAGCCUUUCAUGGAUGCCUAAAAACCCAAAUUGUACAUUAGUUGCCCAAAGUGAGAAGAGAGAGAAGAAAAGGAAAGAAGAUGAAUAAUGCAGCUGGAGCAAUCAAGGGCUGGGACUGAGGAUCCACACACGUGUGCCUUGCAAUCUUCUGCAGUCUGCUUGCAGUGCUCAUCCAUUCUUGCUUAAGCCAUUUGUGCAACUGUGCCUGCUUCCCAAUGCUCUUUCUUGCCCCUAACUUCCUUAAUCUCAUCUCCCGAGUAUCAUUACUCCAAACAUCUAAAUUCUGAAGAAAAAUCAGCAAUACAUUUUGCGUCCUUCCAUAAAAGCUGAUAAUGAGCAUGCCAAGUAGAUUGGGAUGUUUGGUUGCAUUGAAAGUGCAAGUAAUCCAUCUAUUUAACUAUGAAAUUGAGCUCUGUUGAGCAACCAUCAUAAACUCUUCCUAGAAAUAGCGUCUUUUUCCUCACUGCCUCAAACCAUUUGCUUUCAUCCUUCCUCUUGUCUUUUUGCCCUCAAAUUCACUCAAUGAUCAUUGCCAUACAUGCUUUCCACUUUGUUCACUCAAUGAUCGUUGCCACACAUGGUCAAACUGACGACCUCAAAUAAUUUUGUCUCAUGUUGUCCCUAGAAAAGCCACCUCUUACUUCUCAUGACAGCAUCCAUUCAUUAUUUAAUUUUUAUUCACUCACCCAUAUUAACAUCCCCAUUCAGUUGCACCCAUCAAGGAACAAGUUGCUUCUAAUAGUCGAAGAUUAUAUCUUGUAACUCCUAAAGUUUUUAAUUCAGCUUGUCACAUGUACCAGGAUCAGAAUACUAGAGACAUUUCACUAUUUCAUCCAUCUUGCUCCAAUCUAUAGGCGACAUCCUCUUCAAUCUCAUCUCUCUUGUUAAUAGUCAAUCAAGGAAAUGAUCGCUUUUGGGAAUCUCUUGACCAUCAAUUUUUACUAUAUCAUCUCUACUCCUAGUGUUCAAAUGGAUGACACAUAUAUUUUUAUGUCAAAAGGUCAGAAGUGGUUUUUUAGUUUGAAAUUCCAAAAAAUAAAAACAAAGCAAUUGAACUUGCAACAUAUAGGAGACAGAAAACAUUAUCAGUUAAAUCCAUAAUUGAGUCUACAAGGGAUCUUAUUCUUAUAAAGCAAACAUGAUAGGGAGGCCAAUAAGAAAAUAAAGCAUUUGAUAUACGGAAGACAAGAAUCAGAACUUGAGAGGAAGUUGUCUCAACUGAUUACCUGUUUUUUUGGCAUCAACCCAUACUAUCACAGGAAGUUCUACAUUGUCUACAAUCUGGCGGAAGCUAAUACAGCUUCCAGCAAGUUCUCUACUUGAAGAAGGAACUAGAAAAUGAAACAAAGAAUAAUACACUGCCAUUGGAGUUCUUGCUUAGAACAGCAAUGUCGAUAUUCAUGUUAUAUGAACCAAGUUAUGAGUCAAAUCAAUCUACUUUAAGCACUGUUUUAUUUCAGGUGUUGCCAACAGUAGCAUCAGAACAACAAGCAUAAAAAAUAAAUGAUCACAAUGAUAAAUUCAUACCCUUUGAAACUUCCAACAUAGCCCAAGCAAAAUUUUAAUGAGAUCAAAAUGCUCGCCGCAUUCGUUUAGGCUUCUUCACAAAACUGAGUCUGAUUUUUCUAAGGCGCCUCCUCUUCCGGGCCAUUUUCUCAGGCAAUGUUUCUCGUUUUUUCUCCUUCUUUGCCACUGUGGGUUUCUUCACAAAUCUUGGAUCCAACUUAUAAGCCUUGGAUUCCACAGGUACCCCUCUAUUCACUGCUUCACUGAAGAGUGCAUUUGCUUUAUCAAGGCGACCAUGAGCACACAACUUCCCCAUCAAUAAAUCAUAUGUCUUGAUCCCGGGUUUGCAUCCGUCCUCCUUCAUCUUUGAAAAAAGACUCAUAGCAUGAUCGAUCCUCUCAAUCCCACAUAAAAUUUUUAUAAACUCAUAAUAUGCCUUCUUAUCAAGUGCAUUCCCGAACCCAGCAGAUUUCAUCCUAUCAAUCAUCUCAUCACCCUCUCCUACCCUUGCUGCCUGAUAUAAACUCCUUGUCAAAACAAGAAAUGUGGUUUCAUUAGGGUAACAUCCCCAUUCACCCAUUCUAUAAAACAACUUCAUUGCAUCCUCAGUCUUCCUAAUCUUACAUAAAUUAGUAAUCAAAACAUUAAAAGUUUCCACGUUGCGUGGAACCCCAGCAACAUCCAUGUCCACCAAAAUCUUCUCUGCCUCGGAUUCAAGACGAAAUGGAUCCUUUUUCCUACAAAGCUUACAGAUACAAUCCAGAAUCGAAUUAUAGGCCAUUGUACCAAUUUCAAACCCUCCUCUAAACAUCUCCUCUGCCAACCUCCUAGCUUCAUCAAGCUUCCCAUCAACACACCACCCCUUAAUAAGCAAAUCACAGAUCGUUUCAUUAGGAAAAAUCUCAUUGGCCACAUUUUUCACCACUUUCUCCGCAUGACUGGCAAAUCCAUGUUCGCAAAGCUUCGAAACAACCAUUGUCAGCGAUUCUCGGUCUCUCCGGAAUCCAUAAUCCACCUCCAUUCGAUCAAAGAAGGAAACCACCUGCGUGGCCCGGCCCGCCCGGACAAGCCGGUCGAUUGCCGACUCUAGGGUUUUAGCACCGGCGAAGUUGCGACCAUCCAUUAGUACCUCGUGGAUGGCCUUGAAAUCUUUCCGGCGACCGAAAUAAUCGACAAAGAAGGAGAUGGUUUCAUCAGAAUGAACAAAUUUUGGGUUCGAGGAGAGCCAUUUGUAAAACCCUAAAACUGUACGGCCAGCAUCAGGGGAAGUAUUAAGUGUUUGGAGGAUAAGGGGAGGAGAGGGAGUAAUGUGAGAAAAGCUGAGCUGGAGCCUUUGGAUAAUGGGAACAGGCUCUGAAUCCGGAUCCUUAAGGAGUUCAGAAGAGAGAGAUUGAGCGAUUUGGGAGUGAUCAUCAUCGGCACUGUUGUUUGGUUGGGAUGAGAAGCGCCUAGAGAGAGGAAACGAAGGAGAGACAAAGUGGCGUUGUGAGGAACAGAGACAGUAGGGAUCUAGGGAGAGAGUUGGGCUAAGGCAAUAAGACUGUACUAAAGAAGAAGAAGAAGAAGAAGAAGAAGAUGAUGAUGAUGAUGAUGAUGAUGAGAAGCAGCGAAGAAGAAGCCUGCGGAGUUGGAGAGACGUUAAUGGCGUCGAGGAUCUCCACAUUUUCAAGAGAAAUCAGGAGGGAAGUGUCUGUAGAAAGAGAAAUCAGGAAAUGUUCAAAACCCUAAAAGAAGAGGUAUCUGAAGCGGAGGAACCAAGUGCAGUCCAUGGGCCCAGGUUUUGGGUGGGUGAUGUGGAAAAUAUAUGAUUUUGAUAACCCAAUUUUACGUAUUUUAAAAUUAAUAAUGUAAUUAGAAAAUAUUUGGAGAAUCAUGCCCUUUCAGCUUAUGUGUAUUUUAAUGCCAAAAAUACCCUUCACCUUGCCAGCUAAGCGUUCCACAUCUGAAAAUCAGAAGAGAAAAAACCCAUUCUCAAUCUCAGAAACCCAAAAUGCUGUAAAACCUAACCUAUUUCAUUUCUGUAACAUUCUCGUCUCCCAUUUUGUUGAUAAACAUCAACAGCCCAAAACCUAACUUUCCCAAAAAAAAAGUUAUAAUGCUGCGGAGGAGAAGAAUUUAUCAGGUGGAUGUGUUGGUAAAUGAGAAACGAAUCAGAAGGAAGAGACACGGGACUAUGGGAGGAAACCGGGAAAGGUGAUAUCCUUUUUGUUCCCAAAUUACUUGAUCCAGAAACCCUAAUUUCUGAAACGAAGAUCAGAUCCGGGGAAAAUUGGUGAUCGGAAUUAAUGGUGGGUGCAUCGAGCUCAUGGUCUCGCGCACUGGUUCAGAUCUCACCUUACACCUUCUCCGCCAUCGGCGUUUCCGUCUUGGGUGCCGCUUGGUACUUUCUCUUCCCUUCCUCCCUUGUAAAAUCCACCAAAAGAAAACAACUACUAAAAUUUUUGCAUUCUUGUCAAACCAGCGGAGGUUUAGGUUAAAUUGAUACAUUAUAUUUGUUUUUUUUUUUUUUUUUUGUUGGAUCGUUGUUUUGAUGUUUGCGUUAUUGCUGCAUUUUUAAGGGAAUUUAUAUAACUGCAUUUUUUAUGGUUGAUAUUCUAUAAUAUUAUUGGUAUUCCUCAUUUACUUUGAUGAGUUGAAGAUUUUUGUGCUCAUUUCCUAUGCAAUACUUGCUUGUUUUGAGCUUAAUUUGAAGACUCAUUCAAGAUUGAUGCUAAAUUCACAAAGUUUCGGCACUAUAGAAUUGUAAUAGACUUUGUUUUUUUUUUUUUCAUUUGGAUUAUAGCCUGUUUGUUUCUUUGGAUUAUUCCAGCUACUUCAAUGUGUUGGAAUUCAUUAAUAUUGAAACCCUAGUGUUUUUUAGCGGCCAUUUAUUCUUUUUUUUUUUUUUUGUCUCUUGCAUUGUAGAUAUGUGCCUAGUGGAGUGAAGGCUGGUUCUUAUUAUAAGUUUUUAUGCAUCUUUGAAAUUCUUGUUUUUCUCUGUCAUCCAAGAUGGGUACUUGUUGACUGUUUAAGUACUUGAUGUAUUAUCAUAUGUGGUAUGCAUCCUCUUAGAAGGUAUAAGGUCUCUGAAAGAAGAAAUAGAGUAAUGAAGAAUAUGCAUAAAGCUUCUGGUCAUAGCAGUUAAAACAUCUAUUGAAAUAGGUCCAGAACUAUAUUUCAAACUAUAAUUCCCUUUGUACUUCAUCUGAAGUUUAUGUUAGACAAUACAAUGCCUGUAAUUGGAAUAAUAAGAACUUCUUAAUUUCUUUGGUUGUAUAGCCCCUAGUCGUGAUCUGAAGGGAAUAUGAUCAUAAGUUAUUAUAAUCAGUUUCUGAUAAAAAUUGAGACGUGGACAAAAGAAGUUAGAAAAAUAAAUAAUAAUAAUAUUAAAGUGGCUGAAUACCAAAGCAAGCUUAAAGUGGCCGAAUACCAAAAAUAGCAUGAAGAAGAAAUAGAGGAUGAGAAAAUUACUAAGAAUAAAUUGACAAAGUCUACAUAAGCUUAAAGUGGCUGAAAAGUCUACACAAGCUUAAAGUGGUUGAAUACCAUGCUGAAAAAUUGCAUGAGGAAGAAAUAGAGGAAGAGAAACAAGAACAGAGCAAACUCCUUCACAGUUUUAUCAAAUAAACAAUCUAGUCUAUUUGAUGUAGAGCAUGUUAACAAGAAAGGAGCAAAUUUAUUUGUUGGGAAUACUUUUUGUGAAUAAUUGCAAAUCCAGGGCUGUGAUAAAAGGAAAGAUGAUGGUGCGAGUUUUGGUCCAUAUAAACAAAAGAGUAUGGCUAUAGCCUGUGCUAGCCAAUAAUUUGGCAAAACCCCUGUAAGGGUUUCACACAUUUGAGGCAUAAAUCAGUGUAUGACCUAUUGGAUUUCAAAUCAGGGUUUGACUUGAAAUCAUUGGAAAGUGCUUGAAAUUGAGAAGAUGGUGUCUUUGGUUGUAUUUGAUUGGGUUCUGAGCAUUAGGAUUAUGGAAAGUGAAUUAGGAAUGCUGAGGAUUGAAAGGAGUUGAAGAGGUUGUCGUGCAGCCAUAGAAUGAGGCAUGGCAGAAAAGAAAGAGGAUGAGGAGGGUUUUGAGAAUGCACCCAGGGUAGUAAAGGGGUGGUAAGAGGUCCAGAGGAAGAAGGGGUAGAAAUGUUGUAUACAUGCCAAGUUCAUUUAAGCUAUCAGGGAAUCAGCCCCUAGGGCAAUAACGGCUUUCUUCACCAUUGCAGUUAGUGAAGAAAGGAUUGUCAAUACUUUGUUCACAGUGUUGUUUAGAAGAAGAGGAUGUAAAAAACCUUGUUGCUUUGCAAUAUUGAUAGGAGAUGGCUUUUUGAUGGUCAUUCUCACAAACAGUGUCAAAUUGUGAGGGCAAAAUAAUUCUCCUGACAAUGAUAGAAAUUAGUAGGAAAAAUAUCAUUUAUAACUAGAAGAGUUAUAGCAUAGGAAACACAUCCUUUAUAACUAGAAGAGUUAUAGUAUAUAAAAACUCUCUCCCAAGUCUAUUUGAAGAUUCAUCAUUUGUCUCCGAUGGAAUAACCAACUAUAAAUUACAUGGGAUAUGAGAUAAUGGGGAUAUAACUAUUAGAGCAUAGUUAAAAAAUAGUGGAAUCAAAUCCAAAGAUAGUGAGGAUCAAAUGCAGUUAUAUUGUUGUAGUUAUCCUCUUAGUACUCAGAUAUAUUGCACUUUUUGUCUUUUGCCUUGUUGGACUCUUGGUUUCCUUGGACUCACAUUUUGCAAAGUUAUGUAUACAACAUUGAUUUCAAUUUUAUAAAAAAGUCAUUAAUAAAAAAGCCCCCCCUUCACUUGCUAAUGAUGGUCAGAUAUGAAUUACCACCAGACUAGAGCUCAUAUGCAGUGAGUAGUGCAAUUAUUUGUUCUCCCUUGUGCCAGCCUUGUUCCCACAUGUUUACUUAGAAAUUGAUGAAACCUCUCUAAUGCUUAUGUGAAUGUCUCACAUUGCCGAUGCUUUGUAAUUUCACUGCAGGAGAACAGAAAAUGAAUAAACUUCUAGCUAUCAAAUUGACUAGGUAUGCUUCAUGUUGAUUAAUUUUAUCCCUGGAAAUUGAAUUCUAAUACCUGUAGCAAGAUAUUUUGGAACCUUUAACUAGGGCCCUCUGAUCACUGAUAUUGUAUCUUGCAACUUCAAUCGAUUAAAACCUGAGUUCAUAAAAGAGGCUUGGAUUUGGCAACUUCGGUUGAGUUGGGUUUUAGACAAAUGAACUUCAUGUUUAGAUUGAGCUUGGAUUGAUUUUCAAUCUGAUAUGACCCACCAGAAUUGCACCCUAAAUUUUAUGCCAUCUUAUUAGUAGAGUUGUUAUUGAUUUCCUUAAAUCAGUUCCAACUUUUUCUAUCAACUGAUAAACGAAUUGAUCAAGAAUGCCUAUCAUAAAAAAAAAAAAAAAAACAACGAAUUAGAUGCUAAUGGUUCCCUAUUCUUACAGUAUUUUAUAUUGGUGUAACUAAUCCAUUAAUAUGUAGUACAACAUAAUAUAUUUAAACUAUUGAACAUGGGAACCUGUCUCAGGUUUUGAGUAACUGGCAAUGUUCAUAGUUUUUGGAAUCUGCUCACAAAUAUACCAGAUAAUAGGAGGAUCUACUGUGUCCCAUAGAGUGCUACUAGCCUACCACAGUAUUCUUUAUCAGUUUUUUAUAUAAAUAAGAUAUUCAACUGCCAGGAUUAAUACAUCUCAAUGGUUAGAAUUUUCACUUAAUCAUUAUACUAAAUUUCUGUUUAUGUUGCUUUGCUUUCAAUCAAAAAGUGGUGUGCUAAGUUUGCUUAUUAUCAUAUUAUCAUUUGAGCUCUCUCUCUCCCUGUACCCCGUUUCUCAUUUAUUGGGAUGUGAGAGAACAAUUUUGUUGACUUCUGGUCAAAUCUGAGUGAUAUUAACAUUCUGAUUCCAGUGUUCUUUAGCUUUCAGCAUCAUUCUGCUGGAAAUUAUAGUUGAUAUAAAGUUGUUUAUUGUCUAAUUGUUUGACCUGUUCUGUUCUCAAAUCGGAGAGGCUUGCUAAUCCGGGAUUUGCAAUUCCACUAGUUUUUUUUUUUUUUUUUUGUGUUUAUGAUCAAACGAGCUAAUACAUUAAUCUAAUUCCAAUUAAUUUACUUGAGUGAUACUAGUUGUUUCAACAUGCAAUACACGAUAAGUUUUUGGUAAAAAAUCUUUAGUUUUUGUUGACUUUAUUGCAUAGGUCUUAUUUGGUAGAUUUCUUUGUACUUUUAAGAUAAUAACUAUUAUUUUUUCUUUUAUUUGCAGUGAACAAAAAGGUUUCAGCUAACAAAUUGAAACAACAGGCGGUCAAGGCUUCCUACAAACAUGAAAGGCAAAAAUAUGUUGAAACUUCUCAAUCAAUACCUUCUUAUUCUUGCCCAAAUGGGGGUAUUAUUUCUUCUCAUUAUUUUCCUUGUUAAUUUGGUUACAAUUGAAGUGCAUUGCAUUAGCAUUGAGUCCAUAGUUUUGAUUCUUAUUCCAUUGGUUUUGAACUUUGAAGUUUAUUUAGACAGUGUAACUUGUCCAAAAGAAAAACAGUGGAAAGUUCAAAAUUCUGAACCAUGUUUACUUCAUCCUGGAGAUCCACCUGGAAGACUAAUUUUCACCCAAAUGAUUAGAUGUUGUCAAAUAUUAUUUGACUAUGUGGCUUAUUUCUACAGGUGCAGCCUUAUAAACUGUGGAUUGAAAUGGAAAAUAUUGAGAAAGGGAUUGUAGAAAUCAUUGCUCAGAAUAAUAUAAAAUGGCUUGUUAUGGGAGCUGCAGCAGAUAAAUAUUAUUCAAAGUAUUAACCAUCUAUUACAAGUUCUUAUUGUUGACUGCAUUGAUUUAUUUGAUAUUGUUGUAGAAUUACUCGAGGCUUCCACCUUAGGCAUUUGGGAUAAAAGUUUUGUUGAAUUUAGUGGAAUUUCUUGAAGCUUCUACAAGAAUUAUCCAAUAUUAGUGCACAAGUAUUGUUGCUCUGUAGGAGGCCUCUUGAUGUAGCCUAGUCGGUUAUAAAUUGCUAUGAAGAUUAACCCAAUUUUAAGUCAUAAAAGAUCAGCUCCUUGUAGUGCUAUACUUUUCUUUUCAGCAUUUGAGGAAUUAAAUUGGCAGACAUAUCUUUUCAAUAUAUUUCUCAGGCAGUUGAUAAAGUUGGGUUAUUUCUUUUGUGUUAGAAUCAAUGUUGCUCUGGCGCUUCAAAAUAUGUGAUACAUGUAGAGGGUUAUGGAUUGUGAGCUAUCAAUGGGAGCAUCCAUCAAAGAAAAGAGGAACACAUUCCUAGUAUACAGGAAGUUCCACAGUAUACUUUCUUAAUUUGUUCCUCUUUUGAAUGAUAUCUCAAAACAAGCAAAGCACUCACAUUGCAUAUGCUAUGUUGUUUUAACAAAUCAUUUACCCAAGCUAUGAAAAAAAAAAACAAAAGGAAAAUCGGAUGCUUUGAUAAUUUAGCCAUGUCUUUAUAUUUGAGGAUUAGAUGAAUUGAUACCUAAACACAUUGGAGAUUGAUCAAACUUAUGUAUCUAAUUGAGAAACUUAUUGGUGUUAGAAUUAUAUAAUCUUAUUGUGAACCUUUUAUAUCAUUGCCUUCUAACUAGAUAACUUCAUCCUCUUAGUUAUUUAAUAUUUUAUAAAUAUGAAUUCUUUAAAAGAAUUUGAAGACUGUAGCAUGUAACAGCAUGAUUGAGAAUGAAAAUUUCAGCAAAAGGAAGAAAAUGUUUAUUUAAAGUUAAGUCGCUUGUUGUCAUGAUUUUAACUCAAGGCAUUAGCUUUGGUAUGUGCCUUUGCAAUUAAUUAUAAUUAAGGUAUUGUUUUUAGGCCGAUAACAUUAAAAUGCCAUGAUAACCUUAAAAUGUGCAUAUAUCAAAUAGGUAAAACUUAUACCAAUUUAAUUGAACUUGCAUUUGCUUUCAGUUUCUAAAUUUACUGAUCCAGACUCAUGAAGAUUGCAGGAAAAUGGUUGAGGUCAAGUCAUUCAGAGAAAAAAGUGGAGCCUGAGGCAUCUUUUGAAAUUUUGACCAACCCAGCGUGGGUGGUUCCUGCUGAGGAGAAGUUCAUUAAAUUUCUGGAAGAAAGCAGAUAUGUCCCAGGGGAAAAACUCAUAAAGAAAGAAAAAAAUGUGCAUUUGUGUUGAGCUAGUACAACAUGAAUAGAUUUUGUAACUCUUUUGUAUUAGUGAACUAUGUUUUGUUCUUCACUUACCUUACCACCCUCUCCCCCACAUUUCUCAGAAGCAAAAUAAUGUUCUCAAAUCUCUCCCUCAUUGUAACUGUGUAAAUGUGGAUCUAAUUGAAAUCAGUCUUGUUUGUUUCAAUCCAGUAGCUUGAUUUUUCUUCCUGUCUUUCAUGAUGGGUUAUGAUGUUGAAUGAUGCUCAUAUGAUAGAGUGUGAAGCAAAUCCUUUUGUGUGCACAAUUGGGGAUAGAUAGUUUUCAUUGAAAACAAAUCUCUACUCUCGAGUGCUUUAAACUUUUUCAUUUCUUUCACUUUGCUGAGAAAUUACUGUUUGGGAUUCACUUGGUUGUGUGUGUGUCUGUUUGGAGAACUGAACAUUGGGUACCUCUCUGCAAAGAUGCUCUGAAACAAUUGGAAGACAAUAGCUUUAGAUAAUCUUUUUGGUUUCCAAUCACACAUCACCACAAGAACAGAAUCUCAGAUAAGAGAUGAUGAACUUUUGAGCAAUUUUUUAUUUUGUUCUGGCCAAUAGGAAUAUCUCUGAUGGUAUUGAUAGGGAAAAAAAAUAGAUACAUUUUCCAUAGAUAUAGUUGUUAGCUUUAUAUUUCAAAUAAAACAGAUUCCAAAGCUUAUGAUAUGUCUAAAAUUUGAGUUGCUAUUGAUAUUAAAUGGAACUAGUCAUACCAUUCAUAUUUUGUUUCAAAUUAACUAUUGCUAAGAAGAAUUUCCUGAAUACACAAUCCAAGCAAUGGGGAAAUAUUUCUUUAAAUUGUCUCUUAUCAUUCCAUAUAUAUUCUGAAGGAACGUUGUGAGUUGCUGUUUAAAAAGAAAAGCUGCAUAUUUGGCUUCAACUUGUCUCAAGUCAUCCAGUCCACCAAGCACCCGACCAUUAAGAAAUGAGAACCCAGCACUUUGUGGAGAUGCACGAAGCCCCUAAAAAUGUAAGGCAGCAAAUGAGAAAAUAGAAACAUAAACAAAAAAGGAAGCUAUAUUAAAUGUCCUGGUUGGUGCCCAAGAUAAAACAAAUCCCAUUUCUUAGUUGAUACAUCCUCCCAAAUAAAGAAACUGAUGUUGAUCUCCUAUUAAUUUUCAAUCAUUCUUUAAGGGCCCGUGUUUCUCUUGCAGCCUAAAAAACAUAGACAAAGAAUCAACACUAACCUUCAUUCCUCACUCACAACGAGUUUCAUGACAAAUGUGCUCAAAUAAUAAAUUAAUAUUAAGAAAAGUAAACUUUCAGCUAUACUCAUCCCUAUACAUACCUUUUCAAUUAUAAAAUUGAUAUCACUUACCCCAAACAAAUUUUAUUCCCUAUGCAUAUAUUACCUGAUAGAAAUCCUUUGAUAUUUCUAUUUUUGUUUUAGGACUUUAUUGUUAGUGUGCUAUAUUGUUAGUAUAAUUGGUAUUUCUAUUCAAAAUCAUAUUACGAUAUUUAUGAAAUAGUAUAAUUGGUUCUAUUCAAAAGAAGAAAAUGAAAAUAAGAAUAUUUUGCUCUGGUGAAAAUGGUUACCUUAUUCAAAUUAUAAUUUCAUAUCGUUUAGUCAAGAAUAAAAGUCAUCACUUGCAAAAACGGAAAAUAUUUUCUAUGGGUAAAAAGACUAUCUUAUCCUCUGGAAGUACUUUUGAGAUAUUAAGAUUUAAACUCAUCAUAUGGGGAGGAAAGAUAAGCCAAAAAAAAUUUAAAUAUUAAAUUUAAUUUAACUAAUUGAUAAAAUAAAAAUAUAUAACUCAUUUAAAGGAUCUUAUUUUAAUUUUACCUUAAUUUAAUAUCAUACUGAAUUAUUCAUAUAAAAGAAAUUUGAAGAAUAAAAAUGCAAAUUAAAAGUUUUUAGUUCCUAAAAACCACUUAUUAUGUUUUACCUUAAAUGAAAAAAAAAUCCCAUCUACUUAACAAAUUAAAUGGGUUUUGAUCAAAAUUAAGUGAUAAGUAGUAUAAAAUUUAUGUCAUAAGAUAAAAUUCAUGUUAUCAAACAUUAUUAUAAAAUGAAAUCUAUGGAUUUUUCAAUUUUUAAUAAGUAAUUGUUUUAUUAAAUACCCUCUUAAUUAAUAUUUUAUAUGACGUUAAAAAUAUUUGUGGGCAAUAUGUAUUCAAGAAAAGAAUGAUAUGCAACUAUUGUUUAAAUUAUAUAAUGUAGUUGAACGAUCUUCAAUGCACAGUCAUAAUAGGAAAAAAUAUUAAAAAAAUUUAGCACCUAAGGGCCCUUAAGGUAGUACCUAAGGAACAGUAGUAAAAAACCAUUGGUGGACCACAUGAGGACUCAAGAGAAGCACAUAAUGGCAUGGUCUAAGGGUCACAAAGGAAGACCCGAGGCUUGGGAGAGGUUGAGUUCAAGUUUAGCUAAGGUAGUACCUAGGGUCCCUUAAAGUAGUACCUCAAGGCCACUAAGGUAGUACCUCAAGGCCAUUAAGGUAGUACCUAAGGAACAGUAGCAAAAAACCAUUGGUGGACCAUAUGAGGACUCAAGAGAAGCACAUAAUGGCAUGGUCUAAGGGUCACAAAGGAAGACCCGAGGCUUGGGAGAGGUUGGGUUCAAGUUUAGCUAAGGUAGUACCUCAAGGCCAUUAAGGUAGUACCUAAGGAACAGUUGCAAAAAACCAUUGGUGGACCACUUGAGGACUCAAGAGAAGCAGAUAAUGGCAUGGUCUAAGGGUCACAAAGGAAGACCCAAGGCUUGGGAGAGGUUGAGUUCAAGUUUGGCUAAGGUAGUACCUAGGAUCCCUUAAGGUAGUACCUCAAGGCCACUAAGGUAGUACCUCAAGGCCAUUAAGGUAGUACCUAAGGAACAGUAGCAAAAAACCAUUGGUGGAUCACAUGAGGACUCAAGAGAAGCACAUAAUGGCAUGGUCUAAGGGUCACAAAGGAAGACCCGAGGCUUGGGAGAGGUUUAGUUCAAAUGUAGCUAAGGUAGUACCUAGGAUCCCUUAAGGUAGUACCUCAAGGCCACUAAGGUAGUAUCUCAAGGCCAUUAAGGUAGUACUUAAGAAACAAUAGCAAAAAACCAUUGGUGGAUCACUUGAGGACUCAAGAGAAGCACAUAAUGGCAUGGUCUAAGGGUCACAAAGGAAGACCCGAGGCUUGGGAGAGGUUGAGUUCAAGUUUAGCUAAGGUAGUACCUAGGGUCCCUUAAGGUAGUACCUCAAGGCCACUAAGGUAGUACCUCAAGGCCAUUAAGGUAGUACCUAAAGGCCAUUAAGGUAGAACCUAUGGUACAGUCCCUAAGAAGCGAUACUACUUCCCAAAAUUAGCUUUUGAAAUAUUAUUAUUGUGCCAAAACUUGAGGUGGGUCAUUGGAUGAAUGGUUCUGUAAUUGAGAAGUGCUCACCAAAAUCAUCAAAUCAAUUUCAGCCCCAUAUGUAAAAGUGAGGCUUUAUUUAUCUACUUUCCCAAAAAGACACGGAAAUGUUCAUGUUGUGCCAAAACUUGGAAGUGGGCCUUUUGAUGGAUGGUCAUGUAUUAGAGAAAUGGUCAGCAAAAUGAUCUAAUCUAAGACCUUUUUUUCCCAAAAAUACAGUCAGAAGUUUACAUGGGUCAUUUCAUCAGUAGCCAUAUAGUUAAGAAAUGCUCACCAAAUCAUUAAUCAGAUUCAAACCCAUGUGUAAAAAUGAGACAUUCUCCCAAAAACACAUUCUCAAAUUUACUUGUUAUGCCAAAACUUCACCUAUGUCAUAGGAAGAAUGGGCUAAAAAUACAAAAAUGUUCAUCAAAAUCCUCAAACCCACACCCAAAAGAUAGAAUUUUCCCUCAAAAUUUGAACUGGGAUAUUAGAUGAAUGGUGACCAAAAUUAUCAACCGAAUUCGUACCCAUGUGUAAAAAUGAGAUAUUUUACCAAAACAGAUCCGAAAAUGUACUUGUAGUGCCAACAAAAAUCGAAAGUGGGUCAUUUGGAUAUGAAUGGUCAGCAAAAUGCUAUAAAAAUUUCACAUCUCAGUAAACUUCAGAAGGAGUUGAAUUCUGAAAUAGAUCCCAUAGCACAGAACCAUAUGGGACUGCAAGCCCUGGUUAAUCUAAUUCCACGUAUUACUACUAUGUCCUCUACCUUUAUGAGCUAUUUCUAUUCAUAUUCAGAGUGAGUGUACAAGGUGAUCAGUGAGGAGGGAAAACUCAGUAAUAUGGGGUGAACAGACGAUGCUUUUCAUACAUGGUUAGGUCAGAUCCAAAUCCAUAUGUAAAAUGACAGCCCUUUGCCCAAAAAUCAAACAAACACCUAAGGUAAAACCCACUGAACGGAGAACCACAUACCUCAUGCCAUGUUUCCUCUGAUCGGGUUCUUUUCGGUUUAGAUUUGAGUGCUGAUUACAUGGCCAAUUUUGGAGACCCGUGGCUGCUUACAUGGAGACCAUGGUGGCUGUUGACAAGGAGAACAAAAGGGCAAUUUUGGAAUAACUUUUCCAAACAGUAAUUAGUGCACAAAAAAAAAUAUAUAUUCUAAUCAUUAAUGGACAAAGCCCGUAUUCCAGGUUCUAUGGGUUUCAUUCCCAUAUAACCUUCAAAUGGGCCUCCUAAAACACAACUUCCCCCUUAAUUUAUCAAUAUAUGACGAGAAAGGUCCAGUCCUACAAAUUUUCUACCGUACACUAAAAAUUCUUUCUCAAUAUAGGCCCACAAAUUUUCUGAUUUCCCAGUAGAAAUAUAGGAUAUUUUUAAGCACCACAACCUUAGUGAUAGCAUUUAAGAUCUACAAUUUUUUUGGUACACUUAAAAUGAUUCUAACAUCAUUUCAAGUGCUGAAAGAAGCAACGAACUUAUUCUAUAUUAUAAAUAAUUGAAUUUAUUCCCAACAUGUUUCUCCACAAACAAGUUCUUACUUUUUACAAUUCCAACACAUAAAUUUAACACAACCAAAACAUCAUCCAUUUCGACAAAACCCUUAUUAGAAUGAACCAUCAAAUCUUAAUUUACAAACCCAUCUCAACAAUUAGAUCCAUCCAAGAAAACAGAGAAGUAUAAUUUUCACAUAACAUCCAAAGAUGAAAUAGAUAUCUACAAUUGAAUUUAAUACGAGCAAACAAAUAAUAAAAAAAUUAAAAGAAAUAAUACAAAACCUGUAGGAACAAGAGGAACAGAAAUUAAUAUUGACGGUGUUGCCGAAGCCAAUACCUCAAAUACCACUCUCUUUCUGCAAUUCAAAAAAGCAAUCGAAAAUUAAUCAAACACCCACUUACAUAAAUACGGAGAAUAGAAAAACGGGUAUCAAGGAGAACAGACCUGUGUGGGGAAAUCUAAAGAAGCCGAUUGGGGUUUGGGUUGGGGUUGCUGGUGGUGAUGACGAUGAUGGUGAUGAUGCGGCGGUGGCUUUGGAGGCAAUGGCGUGAAGAGAUUUAUGAUGUAUGAGAAGAAGAGAAACAGAGGUAACCCUACCAGAAGAAACUGAGCUUGAUCCAUUGGAAAAGAAGGCUGGGUGAUUGAGCGAGUGAGACUCUGUUUUGUAGGCCUUCUGAUGUGGACUCUGAAGUGGCUGAAGAGAGAGGGCAAUUUCGGAAUGAAAUAACACCUCACAGCAGAGUGCAUGAAAUCCCUAAUUUUUUUGUCAUCAGUGUACAUAUUUUUUUUUGUGGAAAGUUGGGUUUCGAAAAUGUUAUUAUUUUGGGAUGGGCAGCCCAAAGCAUAACUUUCCCAAGGUAGAAUAAGUAGGCCCAUUGUUUAUAGGGUAGAAUAAGUAGGCUCAUUUUUUAUAGGGUAGAAUAAGGAGGCCCAUUUUCCAGAUGACAGGCCCAGAAGGCUAUUAGCAAAUGUGUCAUGCACACCAAUUCUUCAGUUCCACUUUGUGGGACUCAGUUUAAGUUGCGUAACUGAAGGAAAUCAAUUCUCAUCAUGUUUGGAAUGCUGGAAUAGGGAAUGGGAAUUCAAUUCAUUACGACGGAAAUCAAAUCCCACUCUUGUUAAGAUGAUUUUGGUUCCUCUAUUCUACGUCAUUUCUAUCCUAUUUUCAUUCAUAUUCUCAUUCUCAUCCACCAAAGCAAAGGCAGGGGCAGAGUUGUGGAGUUGAAGGUUUAGAUUAUCACCCACUGGCCUAAACACACGAUAGCAAUAGCCUCAUUACCACCAACUUACACUAAUAAUAAUACUCCACCACCUAGCCUAUGUCAUCUCAUUUUUACGAGUUUAGGGUCUAAAUGGCCCAUUUUUGAAAAAAAUUGUAACAUCUAACCCAUUUUUUAAACUUAUGUUCAAAUUGGCCUCUUUGAUGCCACAUAGCGCCACAUCAUUAAAAAAAAAAAAAAAUUUCAUCAUUAUAGUGAAAGCCCCAAUUGGGAAAUGCGACUUCAUUUUUAUACUAAAACCGCAGUUGGGAAACGCGGCUUUAUAUUUGUACUAAAGCCGCAGUUGGCAAACGCGGCUUCAUUUUUGUAUUAAAGCCGCAGUUGUCAAACGAGGCUUCAUUUUUGUACUAAAGCCACGGUUGGCAACUACGGCUUUAGUUAAUUUUUAUUUAAAUUUAAAAUUUAAUGAAAAAUUAUUAAAUUACAAUUUAUGAAUAAAAUUUAAAAAUAUACUUAAAUAAUAAAUUAUUUAUAUUUAUAUUUAAAAUUCUAAAAUUACUUCAACAAACAUAAAUUGAUAAAUAGAAGAUAUUAUAAAUGAAUAUUUUAUUUAUUAAUAAAUUAAUAAUCUUAAAAUAAUAAACUUAUAUAACAUAUAAAUAAUAUAUAAAAUUGUAUAAUUUAUUAAUUUAAGAUAUUUAAUUUGUUAAUUUUUAAAAUAUUAAUUUAUUUGUAUUAUGAUAAAUUUAUCUUUAUCGAAAUAAUAGUAUAGCAGUUGAUAACUGAGAUUUCAAUUAUAAUAUUUUUUUUUUAGUUUCAAAUUUAAUUAUAAACUAUUAAAUUACAAUUUAUGAUUGAAAUUUAAAAAAUAUAUUUAAAUAAUAAAUUAUUUAUAUUUAAACUUAAAAAUCUAAUAUUAUUUCAAUAAAUGUAAAUUAAUAAAUAGAAGAUAUUAUAAAUGAACGUUUUUUUAUUAAUAAAUUAAUAAUCUUAAAAUAAUAAAUCAAAUAUUCAUUUAUAAUAUCUUCUAUUUAUUAAUUUAUGUUUGUUGAAGUAAUACUACAUUCUUAAGUUUAAAUAUAAAUAAUUUAUUAUUUAAGUAUAUAUUUUUAAUUUCAAUAAUAAAUUGUAAUUUAAUAGUUUUUAAUUAAAUUUGAAAGUAAAAAAAAAUUAUAUUUGAAAUCUCAAACUUAAAAGUAUACUAUUAUUUCGAUAAAAAUAAAUUUAUCAUUAUACAAAUAAAUUAAUAUCUUAAAAAACAACAAAUUAAAUAUCAUAAAUUAAUAAAUUAUAUAAUUUUAUAUAUUAUUUAUAUGUUAUAUAAGUUUAUUAUUUUAAGAUUAUUAAUUUAUUAAUAAAUAAAACUUUCAUUUAUAAUAUCUUCUAUUUAUUAAUUUAUAUUUGUUGAAGUAAUACUAGAUUUUUAAGUUUAAAUAUAAAUAAUUUAUUAUUUAAGUAUAUUUUUUAAAUUUCAAUCAUAAAUUGUAAUUUAAUAGUUUUUAAUUAAAUUUGAAAGUAAAAAAAAAUAUUAUAAUUGAAAUCUCAGUUUUCAAUUGCUAUACUAUUAUUUCGAUAAAGAUAAAUUUAUCAUAAUACAAAUAAAUUAAUAUUUUAAAAAUUAAAAAAUUAAAAAUCUUAAAUUAAUAAAUUAUACAAUUUUAUAUAUUAUUUAUAUGUUAUAUAAGUUUAUUAUUUUAAGAUUAUUAAUUUAUUAAUAAAUAAAAUAUUCAUUUAUAAUAUUUUUUAUUUAUCAAUUUAUGUUUGUUGAAGUAAUACUAUAAUUUUAAAUUUAAAUAUAAAUAAUUUAUUAUUUAAGUAUAUUUUUAAAUUUCAUUCAUAAAUUGUAAUUUAAUAAUUUUUAAUUAAAUUUUAAAUUUAAAUAAAAAUUAACUAAAGCCGCAGUUGCCAACCGCGGUUUUAGAACAAAAAUGAAAGAUUUAGUACAAAAAUGAAGCCGCGUUUCCCAACUGCGGCUUUCACUAUAAUGACGAAAAUAAAUAUUUUUUAAUGACGUGGCGCCUACAUGGCAUCAAAGAGGCCAAUUUAAACAUAAGUUUAAAAAAUGGGUUAGAUAUUACAAUUUUUUUCAAAAAUGGGUCAUUUUGACCCAAAACUCCAUCUUUACCCACCCUCUCCACUAACCUUACCUUUAGCUCUCCAUCCUUAUCCUAGUUUUAUCCCCUUUCUCAUCUCUCAGCUCUUUCACCUCUCCUCUUCAAUCUACCCCCACCACCCAUAGGCUGCAAUUAUCAUGACACACAAAAUCAAAUAUUGAAAAUGCAUAUUUUUGGAUCAAAAAAUAAAUGCGAGAGAAUCAACCCAAAAAUCUUGAUGAGAAUUAUGAAUAUGAAAGUCAUGAUGGAAGCAUGAGUUUCUUGUAUUGUAACCAAGAAGCUUGACUGGUGACCAGCCCUUACAGAACAGAUGAGGAGAUGAAGAGGGAGCCAGGGGGGCACAGAAAAGAAAGCCCCAUUGGAUUAGAAUAAAGUGGUAGUUGAAUCAAAAAAGGUGACUCUUCUUGAACUAGUUGAGGAUUAUUUAUCUGGAUGAGAAGAAUGAAUCCACUCCCUGCAUUUCAAAUUUCAUUCUCAACUUCCACUAUGUGCUCAAAUAAAGGAAAACACGCUACCAAGAGAAAUCUUGAGCAUAAUAAGCUGUCAACGAAGAACGAGAGCGACAUUAAUAGAAUCUUGGUUCUGCUAAAACCCAAAACCAAAUCUCACAAUGCUUACUUCUCUUGUUUCCCCUUUUAUAUGUGGGCACUCAAGCAACAAUUUAGAGCAGUAGCCAGUAAAUAAACAUGGAUAUCUAUGGACUUGCUGAAAUAUAAAACACUAUAGGAUUAUAUGGUUUUAUCCUGACCAUCAUACACACCCACUAAUUGAUUAAAGACUAUUGACUCAACUUUGGAGCUUGGCAUGGGAUGGUAUAGCUCAAGCCUUUAAUUGUAGACAAGAUAUGGUUCCCAGAAUGUAAACAUUGGUUUUUGAUGAAGGUAUAAUGAGCUUUGAGACCAUCCCCAUUUAGAUCAAUUAUCAAACUUCACUAAUUCACAAAUUUUUCAAACAAAAUUAGAUGGAGAAAGCUACUGCUAGGUGUGAGUGCUUCAACAUGGUUCCUCUGUCAAAUGGAUCUUUCAGAGGUGGGUUCUUUUCUUUUUCUUUCCUUUCCUUCUAUUUUUUUGGGUGGUGUGGGGGGCAGGGAGAUGUUGAGGGGCAACAAAGGGUUGACAACAACUGAGGCUGUCUCCUUCAGAUGGAAGAAUAUUCUGUCACUUUGAAAAGUAGUUUUGUCCCAUCUGCUAGCCAUAGCCAGAACAGAACAGAAAACAUCCCAACCAACCUGAUAAAAGGUGGUAUUUAUCCUAGGUUGCUUUACAACCUUUGCAAAUGCUAGUUGCAUUUCCAGAGCGAGCUAAGAGCAUUCCUUGGAAGUUGGAGAUGCCAAACCUUGCACUUGGAGGGAGAGGCCUCAUGCAGCUUAUUAGUGUCCAAAAUAUGUAACCUGCAGUAGCUCCCUAAGUAUUUGCUACAACUAGCAUGGUCCUUUCAUUGUAUUGUUGCCCUCAAAAUGCAACCCAAACACUAGACAACAAAGGUGCUCUAAUAAUCCUUAAUAAAAUCCAAUACUGAAAUUUAUUGAGGGAAACCCUUGGCAUAUGAUCAAACUUCUCAGGAGUGCCUGAAGCCCAGUAGGUUUUAUGAUGUUCUUGGCAGUGCAAGUGAGCAUGCAAUAGGUGUGCUGAGUUAUGGCUUUAUUGAAGCCACUACCAUCACUGGGUGAUUCUCGCCAACUGGAGAGAUACCAACAUGAUUUCAUUUUGGAUAUCCUUGUCUUGCCACAAAGCAGUAGCUGAGAAGAAUAAAUUCACAUGGUUCUGGUCCAUGUUUCACAUAAAAAACCUAGACACAAAAUUUGAAAUUAAAUAAAGCAUUCCUGAUUGCCAGCCCCCUUCCAAUAAAUUUCCUGCAAUCUGCUCAGCCACUCACACCCACAAGCUCUGGCUUGGUUAAAAGCAGUCUACCUCGAGAUGUUUAUUGGCCACUCAAAACUCAUCCAAUGUUCUUACACAUAAAUAAAGGCUAGCGUUUUAAAUUGUCUGAAGCUUCACACUAGAAACUAUACCAAUGGCUUCCGGAGCCUUAUAUUUCUAGUUUUCAUAUGGGAGAUUAAGAUUACUGAUCGAUUUUUACCAUGUCUACUGGCAAAGUUUUGGUACCACUUGUGAAUACAAAUACAAACUGGAAUGGACCUCCCUAUGGCACAAAGAGCACAGAUUCACAAUGUUAUGGGCCAUAGAGAUCAAAAUUUUCUUGCAGCCAGUCAAUUUAGAUAAAUACAAGACCUUAUAAUAACAAUCACAGAUCAUACAGUGGCAAAGCCACAUCCAGGAUCUCUUUUGCUCCUAUAUGGGACCAUAAGGCAAGUGCAGACUGGUUUUCUGUAAUCCACACAUCUGCCAUUACUUGUUUAUAACCAAAAGUCUUGCUGGUCUCCAUGAUUAGGAACAUUGAAUUUUUCCCUUCUUUAGCAUGUUGGAGAAGCAUCCAACAAAAGAAUAUAAUGAUCACACAUGAUAACCAAAUCAUCCACCACUUACUACGCAUUCUGAAGAAAGAAUGUUCUUGGCACGUCAUCUUUUCAUACAUGCAUAAAGUCAAUUGAAAUUGUCUGCCUUAAGGGUGAUGAUUUGCUCACAUGCUUCUUGUAGGGGUCUCAAAGGUCAGAGGUAUACAGCACCAAGUUGCUAUUCUUUAUUGUAACAAAACCACCCAAAUCAUAGCUUCCACAUGGAAAGAAUUAGGCUCAUGGUGGGCAUCAUCUGCUCCUAUAGUGAUUGUCAGUUUCAAACUUUUGUUACAAGUGCUUUAGGCAUCAACAGAUUAAGCACUGCAUUCCUGGGUUAUUGUUGUCAUUUCGUUGGUUCUUUCUCAGGGUAUUUUCACAAGCACCUCCUGUAAUUCAAUUUUACAUGUAAAAAAUGCACUUAGGACUCUCGAAAAAAAGAUGACAACGUUUAGUUUCUGGGUGAUGCAGAAGUGUAAUCCCAACUACUUUAAAUUGUCAAAUAUAUUUGCACUCCUAAACAAAACACCUACAAGGAAGGAUGAGUUCCUCUCUUAGCAGUAAUAUAUCUGUUAGUAACUAUUGUAAAAAGUUAGAAGCAGGUCCUUUUUUUUGCUCUUUUUCUUUUUUCAACUUAAUCCCGCCAUCUCAUAAGGUGAUGCUGAUAGCAAUGGAGCACAAGUGCAGUAUUCACUAGAAUUACUUAUGAUGUUUUAUAUUUUGUAUUCUCUUCUGGAGAAUGCAAAAAGUGAUUGAGCAUUUAAUCCACCAGAAUAUUUCUUUAGCCUCUAAAAUGUCCAUUUCUAACAUCUAUCAAAAGUGGUUGGGCACGCAUUAAUUUAGGAAUCAUUUCUACAAUGAUAUCGAUUGAAGACAUAAAGUACACGUCCCCAUACCUUGUUAUGAAACACAAAACAGCAUUGUUGUAAACCUGAAAAAUGGAAAAGUUCUAAAUAUAAGGUGAAGAAAAUCCAAAUAGAAGCCACAGAGAACAUUUUUAAUUAACUAUAAUGAUUCCAUCAAGAAAGCUUAGAAGAGAAGAUGGAGACAAGAAGAUUUUAAGAAGAAACUCAAUUGGUGAGCAAAGGAAUAAUCUCCCUAGCAAAGACUAUUUUCUUGCACUAAGGCAACCUACAUUCCCAUUGCCACCCUCACAUCAGUCACUGAGAUGCUCAUAGAUGAUUGAUAUUUCUCUUUGAAACUUUUUUACAACCACUAUUCUCUCAUAUCUGUUGAAGAUGUUGAAGUUCUUUGUAUCGAAGAUAAGAUUUAUCAAAAUCAUGAUGCUACACAUGGCAAGAAAACAGCAGAAUCAUUCAAUAAAACAAAAAAUAGGCAAUUCACUUUCAUGUUGUGUGUACACCUCAUGUACGGAUAUGCUGUGACAGUAUAUAUCUACUAUCCAUAAGACAUAGCUACCACAUAUUUCUGCAUAUGUAUAUUAAAUUGAGAGUGAGAAGGAAGCAAAGGAAUAUAAAGAGAUGGGUGUGACUGAGAAUCAGUUAAAAGAACCCAAAGCAACUUGCAUUGAUUUGGAUAAAAUAUAAAAAGAAAUAGUGUUAGUCUGGAUAUUCAAACCCCAAAUGCAUCUUUCUUUAUAGGUGGGAAAAAGGAGAAAAGCUUUUUACAAGCACAGCUUCUCGAAAAAUAUAUUCUUGGGGGAGGGAUUUGGAUCCAGCCAAAAGAGAUGAGGCAUAUCAUUGUUGGGCUUAGGUUCUUAUUCCUCAAUCAUUUGAAGUUCCUGCAUUGUGAAGAUCAAAUCAAAUUAAAGAAGAAAAAAUAUCAUCUACUAAUCAGAACACUUAAGCUAAGGAAUCUUUGUUUAGUUUAGUAAACAUAUACAACAUUGUUUUUGUUCAGGUUCACAUUCGAAAGGCAAUGUAAGGGAUAAAGAUGCACAAAGCAUGUAAGAAUAAAGAUAGAUUGGAGGGAAAGGAGAGUCGAGAGGUUAAUAAAUACCAUGACAACCAAUGGUUGAGCUUGUGAAUGUAGAUAAAAUAAAGAGAAAAUUAAUAUUUAUGUAAUUUAACAAUGUGGAAGUCUAGGAUACCCAUUGACAAGCUGUACUAGAUGAUUCCCAAGAAAAGUUCUUGGUCAUGCAUGCAAUUUGAUCUCACCCAAGAUAUCUCCACCACAAUUUAGAUUGGAUUACAUGACCACCUGUGCCCCCUCUCCCACUAAUCAAGGUCUCCUGGUAAAUUAAAUUUGGUAUUCAUAUUUAAUAAACCCAAUUCUAAAAUAAAUGAUUAGUAGCACAGUACUUCCUCAUUCUUUAGUCAUAAUCUACCAAAGAACAGUGGGAGAUCUUGAGAGAAGUACCUCCAACGUCCUCGUCAGGCAUCAAGGAAGAAUUGUCCAAACUUUGUGCCAAAAACCCAAUGCAUAAGUUUGCUACUAUUCAAUACCCUAUGGUAACAAUUUGACUGCAAACAAAUCUUAGAAAGGUCGCUCCUUUUCACCUACCUAAUACAAAGGCAUGAAUUAAUACUACUUAAACAAAAUCUGUAAUAUAUAAAUUAUUCCACUCUUGAACUGAGAUAAGCAAUGAAUUAUAAAAUAAUAACACACAAAUAUUUGAUCCACAACCAUUGCCCUGUUAAUAUUGAAAGUUUCAUUGAAUUGAGAUUGGCAAGUGCAGCUAAUAAGAAACAUUUUAUCCACAACCUAAGAGCACCUCAUAUCUGAUCCACCCUUUGCAAAAAGCCUCCUCUAUCACUUAGACCACCCCUGUCAAUAUCAGGAGGGUGAUAUUUUAUUCUGAUAAUAUCAGUCAGAAGGGUGAUACUUUUUCUCCGCCAAUAACAAUGUCAAAUUAUUUCAUAGGAAAAGGGUCCCUUGAUUUUUUUAAUCUUCCUAGCUUAUUAGUGGUCAAUAGCCGAACAUUUCCACCCACAUGACCGUUAAUCCUGCUAAUAAAAUUCCAAAAACUAAUAUUCUCAUCUACAACCCUUGCCCUGUUAGUUUCAAAUGGUUCAGUAUUAAAUUCAACAGGGUCCAAAUCACUUAACCAAGUUGAUUACAGCACAAUCCAAAAUAUAUGUAUAGCUGCAAGCCCUCAAAUAUAAACUUACGCACAAGAAAGAUGUAAUAGACAAACUUAUAAUAUUGCUUUCAUAUAUAAGCAAAAAAAGCCAUGUACAAUGCAUGGAUCUCCAUUCCUAGAUAUAAAACUACAGAACCAAAUCUCGCACCUAACCAGAGCCAAGCACUUUCAUUACACAACCACGACCUUUCAAGCCAACAACGGUACUGUUCUUAUAACAAGGAUAUUAAAACGCUAAGGAAAACCAUAGUAAGUAAUCUGUUUGACCUCACCAUACAAGGCUUCCAAAAUCAUGGAUGAGAUCACACCCAAAUCAUUGUCAAACCCCAUCAUCAAUUCAUAUUUCAAGAGAACCUAGGAACAGCCUUGCAAACCAAGGACUGUUUCAUCUCCAUUGAGAGCUUGAGGCACUCAGACAAGUCCACACCAGAGUCACAAGCAACCCAUUUGAAGUUUUGGAGCAAUUGAGCCAACCACAGUUGCACAGUUGCUAAACCCAUUGCUUUCCCAGGACAAACCCUUCUUCCAGAGCCAAAUGGUGCCAACCUAAGAUCAGAACCCAAAAUGCUCACAUCCUCCUCCAUAAAGCGACUUGGCUUGAAUUCCUUAGGCUCAUCCCACACAGCAUCAUCAUGGGUUAUUGCCCACAUAUUCACCAUAGCUGUGGUGCCUGCAGGGAUGAAGUGCGAACCAAUGUGGGUAUCAUGAAUGGAAAGGCGUGCCCAGGAAAGGAGCGGGCCAGGUGGAUGCAUGCGGAGAGUUUCCUUUACUAUGGCAUGGAGAUAAGGGAGUUUAUGAAUGUCUGAAUCAGACACCAGUCGGGUGGCUCCAACCACUGCAUCUAUUUCAGAUUGGGCUUUGGAUUGAAUAUCGGGGUGUAAAACCAUUCUUGCAAGAAUCCACUCCAACAGAAUUGCCACCGUGUCAGUCCCUCUAAAGAUCAUUUCCUGAGAUUGCAACAUAUUUCCAAUUACACAAACGUGUGAAGAUUAAAUAAAACACGAUGAUAAUAAAGAAAAAGUCAAGGAAAAGAAAUGCAUCACCAUGACAAAGCAUAAAUUGUAAAGCAUAAGAAACAAAGACAGGAAAGAAAGAAAAGAAAGAAAAUGAAUCUUAUCACGGUGAAAAGAGAAACUAUUCAGAUUCUCAAUAUCUAUGGAUGCCCAAAAAAACAAACUUAAAGAAAAGACCUGGCUAUUUCAAGCAUCAAUGUAACAGUAACAAAGAGGGAAAAUGCAUAAAAAGGCUAAAAACUAAAACAUGAAAAACCUAGUGAAUGCAACCACAAAAAAAAGGUCUAAUGAGAAAAAAAAACCUUUGUCAAGAUGUGCUGGGGAAGCACACCAAGAACAGAAAAUGAACAUAUUUCUACAGUAGGUGAUGAACCUGACAAUAGAAUGUUUGAAGGCGCUUACCCAUAAAACAGCAAUCAUAUCAGAGUCGCUGAGCCUGCUUUCCUUUUCCAAAUCGAGUAAGACGUCAACAAAAUCGCCUGAACUGUCAUCACCAUCACGACCCACUUCUCCAUCACCAACCCUCCUGAGCCUGUGCUCAUCUAUGAUCCUGGAAACAAAAACGUUCACCUUCGAAACCAACUUUUUGCAUCUCUUUCUCACUCCUUGCAAGUCCAACCACCCGAGAAGCGGUAAGUGGUCACUCCAGUUGAAUAUACCAAGCAGUUCGUACCCUUCACUCACCAGGCUCUCAAGCUCAACCGCAUCACCAGAAACACCUUUUCCAAAGUCGUAGCUCCUUCCAAACACGCUCAUCAUCACAUUGUUCAAAGACCCAAAAUGCAACACUUUCUUCACCUUCACCUCACCUUUCUUCUCCAUCAAAACCCUAAUCUCAUCCACCAUUUUCAACCCAAUAGUCCUCCGAAACUCCCCGAAACCAGCGAUUCUCCUCGGACUGAACAAAUGGGUGGCCGAAAUCCUCCUCAGAUUUCUCCAGUACACCCCGAACGGAGCAAAACCCAUUGCUCGGUGGAAUAAAAGCUCAUAAGCCGACUCCUUCACUGGUCGGUCCGCGAACGCCGAACUGUUCAGAAUCUCCUUGGCUGUUUCCGGUUGGCUGGAGAUAAUGAAACGAGUAAAGCCAACCGAAAAAGCCAUCAAUGGCGCAGCUUCAGAAACACGAGCCAGCUUGGCCAGAACCCUAUGAGUCAGAGAGCCAGUGAAGGCGAAAACAAGACCUAUCAGAGGUAACCCAGAAGGGCCAGGAAUGGCGCUACGUGCUUUAGCCUUGGACAUAGCCCAAGCUAAACCACCAGGCACAAGCCAGAAACCAAAGACGCCAACGAACAAAACCACACACAAGAACAGUUCCAAACUUAGAACUGGCGAGGACCCAGUUCCCGGAACGAACGAAAAGUA
rnacentral:lncRNA from 1 species